GAGAAGCCGCCGCCCUGAAGGCCAGUUGGUGAAGCUAAUGGAGGCGGCUUAGGAUAACACGGUGGUCCGUUUUCUGGACACCGAUUCCAUUGACUCCGAAUCCUCCAUGUCGGAUCCGUCGGUAUCAUUAAACGAUCUAUCCUUUCGUUGAGCCUAAAUCCUCCUCUGUAUCUGCCUCUUUUCUCUUACGCCAAUCCCUUUCCAACUCUUCCAUAUUUAUAUUCCUCAAGGUUUAUACUUUUUAUAUUUUUUUUCUGGGAUGAUAGAUCUGACUACAUCAAACAACCUUCUUUUCUCCUCUUUGCAUCUCCAGUCAUGCACGCCUACGAUUUUUCUGUAAUUUGUUCUUCAAAAAUAUUAGAGAAUGCUUACUAUAUUUACUGAACUUAUUUGAACUUACUUUCUUCGUGCACCAUUAGCCCCCUGCUACUAUGAGGUUGGUUGCAGGGAAACAGCGAGAAAAGGUAUCGAGGUGCUAUAUUGAUAUAUUGGCAGGAGUAUCUAAGUACAUGGGAUGACAGGAGCACCUUGCUCCAUGUGAUCUCUUCUGUCAAAAAUGGACUAACUUAUUAAUGUAUUUCUUUGCUUUAAUUGGUACUGGAAGUGUACAGAUGCAGAAAUCAGUACGUAGUGUUUGUCACAUCCAUGUUAAAUGUUGACUUGAGAUUUAGUGAGUCAAAUCAUGGUAUCAAUGAAGUAAAGUAGUUUAUUUUAGUUGCAAGUUGUCUAAGCAUUUACAUUUUGCAAACAGAAUAUAGUAGCUUAGAACGUAAAAAGGAUAUAAGAAUAAUUGAUCAUGGUAGAUGUCAACUUGACGGAUAAUUUGGGAUGUCUAACUCCUGGAUUUUUGUAUAAGCUACUUAAAAAUGGCUGUAGCUUUUUUUGAUAAAUAACAAUGGGAUUGGUGCUUGUUUGGUUGAUGAAGUUAAACUUUAGAAUUUCUUUUCUGAUCUUUUUCAGUAUGCUCUUCUUGUUCUUAUUCUUCUUGUUGGCUUUGAGAGAUAUUUGAGAGCACUUGUUCUAACUUCCAUUGAAAAAAUAUCCCCUGGGCUAUCUGGGACAUUUAUAUUUUUAACUUUAUCCUUCUCAUUCUAGUGCAAUGCCUCUUCUUUCAAGUUUAUUUUUAAGCAUCAUACAUCUUCAUUGACUAUUGUUUCAAUUCAUACUAUGCUCACAUUGUUACUUUCGUAAGAAAUACAACCAUUACUUGCAUGUAUCACACGCCAUUUUGUAAACUAAGUUCAUCUAGGUGGCUUUUUGAAUUGAGGAAAGUAAAGGUAACAUUAGUUGCUUGUAUAAUGCUAUUAGUAACUUAAUGUUUCCUUUCGACUUAAGCCGUAUUUAUCUGAACAUACUAAACAUCAAUGACAAAGCAAAAUGAUGAUAUAUUUUGAUCUGAAAUUAGUGUGGAUAACACAUAUGGUCUUCAAAGUUCUCUGAUUGCUUUGUUGUUAUGUGCCCCUUCUCCCUCUUUCAUGCUGUGAUACUCCAUAACUUCUUACACAGAUUUACUGGAUUAUUGCUGCCUGAUCUUGGGAUAUCAUGCACCAUUAAAAUUUUUUUAAAUAUUUUGUGCAUUUUCUUAUGUUUUUCUACUUCUUUUUUUGCAAAUGAGGUCUAGUAAGUCAAAAAAUACUCAUUUUCAUAAGAAUCAUGCUUUUAAUAAUUAAUAUUGUGCAUGCCCUUUCUUCCCUUAAGAAUCAUGCUUUUAAUAGUUAAUAUAUUGCAUCCCCCUCCUUCCCCAACAAGGAGUGAUAGAAGAUUAAUGCAAUUCCUCCCCUAAUUAGACGAGUCUUGCAUUAUGAAAUUUAUUGAAUUGCUCAUCCAUUUGUUCCUCAUGUUUCAACUUGCAUUUAUGCAAACACCUAGGCUGGCUAUAGGAUAUAACUUUACUCACCUCCAAACUUGGCCUUACUAGAUUUAACACUCAUUAACUUUUCAAUCUUCCUUCCAUCAUCCUUUAAGCCUGAACCAUCGAGCAUUGCCAAGAUUUCCAGCAUUGCCAGUUUUUUAUUGAAAUUCUCCUUUAUUUCAUAAUAAUUCAAAAUUCUUAUUUUAUAUGGAAUAUCCCUUGCAUUAUCUGGGAUAUUUAUAUUUCUAACUUUACCUUUCUCAUUUUUCUGCAACAUCAUCUUUCAAGUUUAUUUUUAAGCAUAAAACCUCUUGAGUAAAUUAUUUUUGAAUUCAUACUAUGCGAGCAUCAUUACGUCCAUAAGAAACACCACCACUUGCAUGCAUGCAUCACAUAUCAUUUUGUAAUCUAAUUCCAUCUCCAUCUAGUUGGCUUUUCGAAUUGAGGAAGGUAAAGGUAGCAUUCAUGUGUUUGUAUAAUGCUUCUAAUAAGUUAAUGUAGCCUUUGGACUUGAGCCAUAUUUAUCUGAACAUACUGAACAUCAAAGGCAAAGCAAAGUGAUGAGAUAUUUCGAUCUGAAACUAAUGUGGAUAAUACUUAUUGUCUUCAAAGUUCUCUGAUUGCUUUGUUGUUAUCUGCCCCUUUUCUCUCUUUCAUGCAGCGACAGAGACCCUCCAUGACUUAUUAGACAUAUUUUAUGGACUGUUGCUGGCUGAUAUUAUGAAUUUAUGAUAUCUUGUUCUCUGAAAGAUUGUUAAAUAUUUUGUGCAUUUGCUCAUGUUACUACCUCUGUCUUUGCAAAUAACUGUGCUAGUAAGUCAAAGCGUACUCAUUUCCAUAAGAAUCAUGCUUUGGAUUGUUAAUAUUAUGCAUCCCCUUCCUUCCCUUAAGAGUCAUGCUUUUAAUUGUUAAUAUUGUGCUUCACCCUCCUUCACUUAUGAAGAAUCAUAGAAGAUUUAAUGUACUUCUUCCCCUAAUUAGAGGAUUCUUGCAUUAUAAAAAUUAUUAACUUGCUCAUCCAUUUGUCCCUCAUGCUUCAAAUUGCAUUGGUACAAAUGCCUAUGCUGGUUAUAAGUUAUAACUUUAUUCACCUCCAAACUUGAUCUUACUAGAUUUAGCUAUCAUUAAUCUCACGAUUUUCAUUCUUCCUUCCAUCUUCUUUUAAGCCUGAACCCUUCAACCGUUGCCAAGAUUUCCAGCAAUAUCAAUUGUUUAUUUGAAUUCUCCUUUCUGUUGUACUAAUUAGAAAUUCUUGUUUUGUAUGGAAAAGUUAUUUCUGUUCGAAAUAAUCAAAAAUAUGGUGGCACUAAUAAUGGAAUGUUCUUUAAUGUUUACAUCUGUGUCAUCCAUUAGCCUAUCAGGUUACAAUGGUUGUACUAGUUACCAAAUAUUGCAAAAUGAUGGGCACUUCUUUUAACAUGUGAAUAACAUGACAUUGUCUUUGAAGUUCUUGGACUGCAUUGCUACAAGCAUGAAUUCACAAACUACUGGAAUGAGGCAGUACCAUUGGUACCAUGCCAUUUUGAUGUAAAAUCAGCACUGGCAUGAGUAUUAGGAUAUGGAACCUAUCUGUAUUGAUAUGUACCUGCUGUACUGGUGUGUACCUAUGAUAUUGUACCUAAUUGUACAGGUUGGUGUUGAUUUUUUUUUACCUCAUUCUUUUUGAUGCUGUCAGUUUCGUUAUAUAUCAUUGGUACCGGUACCGUACCAAUACCACACCAUUAUGAUGAAAUUAUGAUAUGUGGUAUGGCAUCCUUAUUUGAAACUGUGACUUCAAUGAUUUCAAUGCUUUCUCAUGAAGUUACAACCUCUCUGUCUUCAUCCUGUCAUGUUCAUCAGAAUAUCCUUGGUACUUCUCCAUGACAUUUCUGUCUUUGUUGCUAAAAUCUUAUGACUCAUGAUCAAAAUUACACUCGAUAUGGAAAAAAUAAUAUGGAUCAUAUCUUGGGACCAAAAUUAGUUAGGGUCAUAUUAUCUAGAUCCGUAAUUUGAAUUAUAAAGUUGCUUGAAUCAUAAGAUUCGAAUUGAUUAUGCUAUUUAGAUGUUAAAUCAUGUAGCAUUCCAUUUUCUUUAAUUCAUUUGUUUAUAUGGUUUCUGAAUUGCUUAUUAUUAAUAAAUCUCGAGUAAAAUUGUACACUUGUUAUCUGGAUUUAUGGAGUUAUAAAUACAAAUUUUAGUAUUUUUGCAGACCUUUGUAAAAGCCUAUCCCUUUUUAUUUAAACAUUAAUUAAUAUGAUAAUUGAAUUAAUCAUACACCAUAUUUGUCUCAUUAGGCAUGUUAUAUGUAGGCUUAUGUUUGGGGAAGCAAGAUUUCUUGUAUAUAUGACUUUAUUCUCUAUUCAGCUACUUAUUUUCAGGGCUCAUAUUUUAAUUUUCUAACAUUUCUUAUAUGUUUUAAAAGUUCCUCAAAAGAAUCAGACUAAGUCUUUCAGAUCCUUGAUUCAAUCUGAUCCAACCCACUCUAUGAUUGAUGGCUUGAGCCGAGGCUUAACAACACUGAUUUUUGUUUAAGUUUACCUUUGCCAAUAUAUGGAUAUAUACUUCAAUCUUAGCAUGCUUUCAUAGUUAAUACAGGGAUCUCAUCUAAACAGAUUUGGUAGCUGCCUUAUGCUGCGUGUAUUCAUUCCAAAAGAAAAGCAAAAUGAUGAGCUGCUUUGAUCUGAAAUACAUGUGGAUAACAUUAAAAGGUCUUCAUAGUUCUCUGAUUGCUUUGCUGCAAUGCAUUACUCAUGACAUCUGCAUUGGCUUCAUAUGAUUCCCCUUUGUAUCCCCAUCCUCGCAGCAUUUGGCUUUCUGAGCAUAAACACUAUUUACUAUAUUUGAUUAACAUGACUUUGUUAGGUUUUUGUUUUACUUUCCAUGAAAAGCUCUCCCUGAUGUUUCAUUUGCAUGCGGAGAUCACAUACAACGUUGAUAGGUUAUUCCAAGUUUCAUCUAGCCUGUUUAAAUUCUAUCUAAAACAAGCAAAAAAAAAAAGAAAAGAAAAGACAACUAGCAUUAGCAAGAUGAUAAUUGAAUUAAUCAUGCACCAUAUUUGUCUCAUUAGGCAUGCUAUAUGUUGGCUUAUGUUUGUGGAAGCAAGAUUUCUUGUAUGUAUGACUUUAUUCUUCAUUCAGCUAGUUAUUUUGGGCUUAUAUUUUAAUUGUUUUGCAUUUCUUAUGUGUUUUAAAAGUUCCUCAAAGAAUCAGACUAACUCUUUCAGAUCCUUGAUUCAAUCUGAUCCAACCUGCUCUAUGAUUUAUGGCUCGAGCCUGGUCUUAACAACAUUGAUUUUUGUCUAAGUUUACCUUUGCCAAUAUAUGAAUGCAUACCAAUCGUAGCAUGCCUUCAUAGUUAAUACAGGGAUCUCAUCUAAACAGAUUUGGUUGCUGCCUUACCCUGCAUGUAUUCAUUCCGAAAGCAAAGCAAAAUGAUGAGCUGUUUUGAUCUGAAAUAAAUGUGGAUAACAUUUAAAGGUCUUCAAAGUUCUCUGAUUUCUUUGCUGCAAUGCAUUACUGAUGACAUCUGCAUCGGCUUCAUAUGAUUCCCCUUCCUAUCCUCAACCUUGCAGCAUUUGUCUUUUUAAGCAUAAGCACUCUAUCUACUACUUUAUUUGGUUAACAUCAUUUUGUUAGAUUUUUGUUUACUUUCCGUGAAAAGCUCUCCCUGAUGUUUCAUUUGCAUGCAGAUAUCACAUACAACCUCGAUAGCUUAUUCCAAGUUUCAUCUAGCCUAUUCAAAUUCUUCUAAAAUGAGCAAAAGAACAAAAAGGACAACUAGCACUAGCAGUCAUGGUUUUAGUAGUUACUGUAGUCUUGACAUAUGGUUGAGCUUAUUAGGUUUUGUUUUAUCUUUCAUAUACUAGUGAUGGCAAAGCAAAAUGAUCAGUUUUUGGAUCUGAGAGUCAUGUGAAUAUCAUAUUAUGGUUUGUAAAGUUCUUUGAUUGCUACGAAAGUGUCCAUGGCCUGUCAUUAUGUAUUAAAUAAACAACUUACUGAUUAAUUUCUGCACUUGCUCCACAAGUUACAGGGCUUUUCUGCUGGUCUAGUUUUAGGAUAUUUUAGCUUUAUAUGGAGGGAUGGCAUGAUUUGGUGGUUGUUUAGGUUCAUAGGGAGGGAGUACAAAACUUGCCCCUUAUUUAGUAGGGGUGGGCACAGUUUGGUUAAUCGAACCACUAUCCUAUUUUUAAAACCGAACCGGUCCUAUUGGUUCUACAAAGACCCAAACCAAAAUCGAACUGGUCAAACGGGUUAACCGGUUAAUUGAUCUGAUUGGUUCGGUUUCUCGAUUUUUCAGUUUUUAUUUUUUCUAUAAAAUAUAUUUCAAACUGUAAUUCAUGAAAAAAAAAAACUAAGCCGAAAGUCUUCCCAAUAUUAAUCUUGUUAUCAACUUCAAAAAUUAAAAUAAUCUUUUUCAUGAUUAUAACUACCUUAAAAAUGAAAUCUAUUAAGAUAUUCUAGUAUAACCAAAAAUAAUAAUAAUAACUCCAUAUAAAAUCGUACAGCAUGGCUUUAGCUGCUAAAGUUUUUUCAUGAUAAGUGUCAUAAAAAGCCAUCAAAUAACAAAUGCACAAUAUCAUCAAAUACAAUCUCAAAUAUCAAAUAAAACAUACAACAACAUAGCUUCAAUUAUCCAAUACAUCUAAAAUAUCAUAAAAACUAAGUUCUUGAACAACAUGAAAUAAGAACCCAUAUCUUCUAUCAUAAGUCACUUCAAAUGGGAGCCAUCUGAUAAAGCUUGACAAAUCUAUAAAAUGUAAAAAUAAAAUAUAAGUUAGAAGUUAGAACUUAUACAAUACAAUAAAAUAAAUCAAAAAUGAUAAUAUUAAUAAAUUCAUUAGAAGCUCAUAAUAUUAUCUUCAAAUGCGACAUUUGGUCAUCAAUGGUGAUAACAUGGUGUUCAUUCGUUAUGCAUUAUACAUCUAAAGAAAAGCAAGACAUACAAAUAUAAACAUAAUAAUGAAACAUUAAAUUUAUUCAAAAGAACAAAAGUUUAAAGCCUUAUCUAAAUCUAUUGACUUCAUGUCAUUUAUUGUUUUCUCCACAUAAGAUAGAACACAAGCUUUUUGCAACUAAUCUUAUCCACAAACAAGAGCCUCUACCAUUCUAGGCAUUAGAGAGCUACGAAAUGGAUCAAGCACACAACCUCUCGUGCUAAAAGCAGAUUCUAAAGCAACGAUUGAUACCGGCAUAGUCAACACUUCACGAGCCAUAGAUGCAAGGAUCCGAUUCUUGUAGGAAUUUAUUUUUCACCAAUUCAACACAUCAAAGAACUUAAUUCUUACGAUCUUCACACUCUCCUAAAUAUUUAUCUAACUCAUUUUUGUUCUUUGUAUUUUCUUGUCCAAUUUGUUGCUUUGUAUACAAUGAAGCCAUGAAAUCUGCAACAUCUUCUGCAGUAUUAACCUCCAUCUUACAUGUUUCUUGAGAUUGAACAUUUGAUUGUAUAUUAGAAGAUUGUGUGGAACUAUACAAAUCAAACAAAGAAUUCAAAAUCUGUUGCACUUUGUCCUACAAGUUUUUUGCCUUUUUAAGUUCAUAAGACUCACCAAUUAUCCAAUUUAUAUAGUGUAACUUGUAAUGAGGGUCAACAACCAUAGCAAUGAAUCAUAAAAGAUUGAUGUUAUCAAUAUUUACCCAAUAUUUGUCAUGCUUCCUUUUCAUUUUGGAAGCCAUCAAAUUUGUGCCAACAUCUUCUAAAGUGCACCUCCUAGAGAUGAUCAUUCUAAUGCUGAAGAUUUUUUUUAUGUACUCAUUAUCAGUGAUAUGAUAUGAGCCAGAUGAUUUAGUAGUGAUAUCAUAAAAGAUCCUGAGGAAUGGCAAUAAGUUACGUGCAUAAUCCCAAUCACUUUCAUUAGAUACACCAAUGUUGUUUUUGUUUUUGACAGUAGUAGUAAGCUCCUCCACAUAUUUAGAAUUUUGACUCUCCAACAAUUCAAACAUUUUUGAAAUUUGAGAGCUAUCUCUAGCAUCAAGCAAGCAGAAUUCUAUCUUGUUUCUACAUCCAAGUAAACUAUGCUCUUAUACUCUAUUUUCUCUUUCUCCACUCAAUUUUUUAACCUUUGCAACCUAGCUGGAGAAGAUCUAACAUAUUUCACAGCAUUACAGAUUCUAACAAUAGAAUCAUCCACCUCCGAUAAUCUAUCUCUAAUAACCAAGCUUAGUAUAUGUGCAGCACACCUUAUGUGUAAGAACUCAUCUUUUAAGAUAAUUUCUUUUCAACUAUUAAGUCUUCUUCUCAAAUAUUGAAUUUUCACAUCAUUUGAGUUAGCAUUAUCAAUUGUUAUUGUCGUCACUCUAUCGUUACCCCAAUCAAAGAAACAACUCUCAACAACUCUUCCAAUUACUUCACUCGAAUACCCAUAAAUUGGACAACAGUUUAAGAACUUUUUGUGCAACUUCCAAUUAUCAUCAAUAAAGUGAGCAGUGAGGCACAUAUAAUUAAAAUUUUACACAAAAGUCCAUGUAUAUGUGGUGAGACAAACUCUAGAAGACAAUAUUUAAAAAGUUCUUCAACUUCUUCUCAUGCAAAAAAAAAGAUUAUAACAAUAUUUAGAAAGUAUGCGUCAUGAAGGGACUUCAAAAUGUGGGUGCAUGUCAUUAUAAAAAUUAUGAAAUUCUUCACGUUCAACAUACUUAAAAGGCAACUCAUCAAUGAUAAUCAUUCUAGCAAGUGACUUUCUAUAUUUUUCUUGAUAAAAAUUCAAGCAGCUAGUGUUUGUGUAGUGCUUCACUCUUUUCGUACUAUAGGUUGAAAGAAUAAAGUCUUUUGCUUCUUAUCUACUUGAUUGUGUGGAUGCUUUUUGCAUCUAUUCAAGUGAUUAUGUAAACAAUUAGUGCUAUUAGUAGGUGGACAAGCAAGAUCUUUACUACAAUAGUUACAUGUCGUCUUUUGCUCACUUGGAUCUUCACAAUCAAUCUUGGUGAAGUGUUCUCACACCUAAGAAGAUUUAUUUUUUCCACCGUCCUUAGGAGGCUUUGUCGAAUGGCUAACAUCAGAGGGUGCAGGAAUAGGAUUGGUACCAGGACUCUCCACCAUUGAUUUGUAUCAUUACCAAUACUUGGCAUCUACCAGGAAAAAAAGAAAAAGGGUGAAGUCAAGUUAAUUUUAAAAGAAAAAAAGAGAUACUUUUUGGCAACUAUAAAAAAAAAAAAAUACAUAAGGCUUCUGCAAUCCAUGAAUAGUUUAUUAGUGGAAAAUAAGAAAGAUUGAUUCAUAGCUCCCAACCCAUGAAUAGUUUAUUAGUUUAAAGCAUAUUUGAUUGAUGGCAUAGGAUGAAACUAUCUAUUCAAACCUAUAAACGAUAAAAAAAAUAAAAAUAAAAAUUGCAAUAUGCAAGCAAAGCAAUUCAGUAACAGACAAUUCUUCAUAUACAUAGCCAAUUUUAUGUAUCUUAGUUUUAAGCCUGUUUCAGUACUUGUCAAGAAUAGUAUAUAUAAUUAACUAUGAAGCUACAAGCAGUUAAAAAUAUUUGUUUCAAAUAAAUAAUUUUAUCUUCAAAAUCUCUCUUAUAAGAUUACAUUAAGAUUCACAUCAUGUCUCGCUGCUAAUAAUAGUGUUGGAUGAAACUGGCAUCAUCUCUGUGAGAGCUGAAACCAAAUUUCUAUGCAUGCCAUCAAUUUUUUUCUAUUUAUGUCUAUCUGUUAGUGGCUUUGGCUUGCAAUGAACUAAGGGUCCAUGCUCUGAUAGAACAUGAAAAACCCUUCGAACCCAUGAUACUGUAUGUCAAGACAAUCUCAAUAAUAAUAAUCAAGAGAUCAGGGUAUUACAUGGAAUAAAAUAAAUUAAAAAAAAAAUUUUAAUAUUUACGAACCCCUGGUGGGCUGUCCAUCUUAAAAAGGAACAGGCUAUCAAUGAAAAACAUCAUAUGACACCUUCAGCCAAAUAGAGGGAAAUUAAAAUGAUUAGAAAAGGAAAAAGAAACAGACGAGGGAAUCUUGACCAGAGGAAAGUGGGAGGGGGGUUUUUAUACAGAUUUAUAACUAUAUAUAUAUAUAUAUAUAUAUAUAUAUAUAUAUAUAUAUAUAUAUAUACUAUAGAGUACGUACGACGACGACGACGAACGNNNNNNNNNNNNNNNNNNNNAGUAUAUAUAUAUAUAUAUAUAUAUAUAUAUAUAUAUAUAUAUAUAUAUAUAUAUAUAUAUAUAUAUAUAUAUAUAAAGAAGAGAAAGAAUAUGAAAAUGGGAGAAGAUAAUGAUUUUUUUUACUGUGGUCCUUUCUUUGUCUUUUUAUUUGAAGCUCCCAGAUCCUGAAAAAGAGCAGACGGCUAAGAGAUGGAGAUGGAGAGAACUUUGAAAAAACUUUCUAGGGUUUGAUAGAAUAAAAUUUUCUUAUGUGAAAUAAUUAGAUUAUACAUGCACGGUUCGGUUCGGUUAACCAAUUGGUUUUAAAACCACAAAAUUGAAACCAAACUGAAUAAUCAGUUGUUUUAAAAAUGCCAAAUUGAAAUCGAACCGGUCGGUUGGGUUAACCGAGAAUUUCAGAUCGGUUGGGAUCAGGUUUUUUUUAUUUGGUUUAGUUUUUCGGUUUUGUACGCCGGACCCUAUUAUUUAGGUUCAUAGUGGGGAGUGUGUGAUUUGUGGGUUAUUUAGGUUUAUAAGCUCACCAGAAAGAUGUUGCAUUCAGAUGGGGGAGUGGUAGAGGAUGGGAAUGGAUGAUUUGUUGGUUAUUCAGGUUUUACAAGCUUACAAGAAAGAUCAUGGAGAAAGAUUCAGCCUGUUGAUCUGAAACCUGCUGCUGAUGCUGGGCUUGCUGAUUAAGUGGAUAAAGCUCAACGCCAACACGUUGCUUUCAAUCUCUGUUGACAGUUUGCAGUUUAAUGACAGGAACAUUGAAAAGUUGAUGAUUUUAGAUUAAAAAAAGGUUGUUUAGUCUCUAAAAUCUGAUUUUGAUAACCAGGCAUUUUUCAUCUCACAGCAAAACUUGUACCUACAAUCUCCCAGUUAGUGAGUUAGUGAGAUGAACUCUUUCCUGUCUGUUAAAGCUUGUUUCUUCUUUCUUGUCCAUAUAUCUCAGUAAAUAGCAAAAUUCAGUGUAAACUCAUGAGUCUACAAAAUCCAACCAGAAUGGAUAGGUUACCAGUUGUCUGGGUCGGAAACUGCAUAGAAGCCGGUGAGGUGGUUGGUGGAGUAUUCAUGGGUUAUUUGGGAGGAUUGGAUGAUGAAAACAUGGAGGUGGACACUUUGUUGGAGUAGGGAGAGAUUUGAGUGUCAGGUUGGUGGUUGGUUUGUUUUUGAGACUGUUGGGGUGAUGGGAAGGGAACUGAAGCUCCUGAAGUCAUGAGCUUUAGCUAUUUUGGGUAGAGAAAGAAGAUAAGGAUUUUAGGAUAAACUUAGAGGAUGUUUGGUUCGUAACCAAAAUCAGAAGGAGAAUGGGAAUCGAAAUGGCUUAGAAUUCGAAUCGGAAUGGUCAAAUUUUCUGAAGCAUUUGGUUCGUAUUCGGAAUUGAGAUUGGAAUCGGAAUUGAAAUGAAAAUUUGAAUCUAUAGAGAAGAGUAAGGAUUGAGUUCUAUAUAGAUUGAGCCAUUCUCAUUUCAUCACAGAAUUAGAAUGAGAUUCUUUUCAAUCAAAUGGUUAGAAUGAAAGUUACCCAUUCCGAUUCUGAUUUCAGACCUUCAUUUCCUUCAACCAAACAUUUCUUUGGUCUGUCAGAUGUGUAAAUAAAGUAAAUGAAAAGAUGCUGCAUUUUGAACUAAAAAUUCUACAACCAAUGGUUAAACAGUGGUAUGUUGAAGUGGUUAUAGAAUUUUUAAUUCAAAAUGCUGAUGAUGUGUUUUUCUAUUGAUUUUUUGUAUAGCGUACGUAUGGUUGUAGAAUUUUUUAGUUCAAAAUAUUGAUGUGGUAUUUUUUUUAUUGAUUUUUUCUAAAGUAUGUAUGGUAAGCUAAGUCUAUUUAAAAAUUUUCUGAAUUAAGAGAAAAAAAAAAAGAAAAAACUAGUGACCAUUUGGAAGUCCUUAUGAUUCUUAGAGAGAAUAAAGUUUUCUUAGUUCUGGGGCUUAUCUUCAGACUCCAAUUUCUUAAAAAAACUUAAUAUUUUAGUAUGAAAUUGGAGACUAUUAAUUAUAUUUUAUAUAUCCUGGUUUUUCAUGGUUUUUUUUUUUUUUUGGUUGUUUUUCUUUACAAAAUAUAACAUGGCUUAUUAAACUCAUGGAAAACCAGUGCUAACAAAUAAAUAACCCACUUUAAAAUAGCAUAUCACCAAGACGCGAACGUGGCAGCGGAUUGAGUUGCCUCUUUUGGCAUGGAGCAUUCUGUCGAUGUAUUGUGGACUAAUGGGAUGUCGAUCUCGGAGAUGUUAAAGGAUAUUUUAUUUUUUAAUUUUUUUGAAAUACGUACUUGAUGUGAACAACGGUUAUACAAAAAAAUUAGUUUAUUUUUUUUUAAUGAUAAAAGUGGAUCCUUAACUUCUAUAAGUUCCUCCUUUUGCAACUCUUAUAUGGAUGUAGCUGUAUAUUUGUACAUGGACCUGGGAUUGGAUCAUGUUAUAUUACCUAAGGCUAGAAGUGGGCUGGGAUGGGUUGGGCCGCACCCCUAUCCAUGUUUGCUCUAAAAUAUUUUUUCGGAUUUCAAGUUCAGAUUAAGUCCAAAAUUUUUUAAAAAUUCAGAUCCGAAUUCGGCCCGCACCUAAGCUCGAACCAAACUCGAACCCUAUUGACCGGCCUAAACUACUUAUUUGGACCAAAUAUUGAGCUGGUCCCAACCUAUCAUGAAAUCUACAGUUGGUCUUAAACUAUAGAUUGAAACUAAAAUAUUAAAAAUGGAAACAUACAGUCAGAUAUAGUUAGAGUUGACAUAUUUGGUAUGACCUGAAUCCAUAAGGAGAGAAUGUAUCAAUAAAGCGAAGCCUUCACUUUAAAUAAGGGUACCAUUUUUGCUUUUAACUGCCUUCAGUAUUCAGAUGGAAAGUGCCUCCAGGCCCUCCAAAAAAACAUAAUUAGUUGGAAUAGCUAAACAAAAUGUUUUCUAGCAAAUCUUCUUCCUCCAUCUUCAUGCAUCCAUUAUCGUAAAAACCUACAUUUAAAAUAAACUAAAUAAUUGGAAGAUGAAAAAUUUUAAGUACGAAAAAUUGUAACUUGAUAUUGAUAAAAAAAUUAUAAAGAUGGUUACUUAAUAUUAUAUCCAUGUCGCAAAUUUAUUGCUUGGUUCAUUCCAAGAUGUUAUCAUCCAUAUUCAACUUUAAAAACCUCGAGCAAUUUGUAACUGUUAAUACAUAUAUCAAUUAUAAAUCUUCAAAAUAUAAACAUUAUAAGUGAAUAAAAAUAUUAUAUAAAUUUAAAAUAUUUAUAUAUUUUUAUCAUUUUCUUUAUAAAGGAUACGAACAAAGGUUUCGACAGUCGAUGGACUUAAUGAACUUCGAUAUUGAUUCACAACUUUAUCAUUAGUGCUAAAUACCGACUAUGAUAAAACAAUAGAGAUUAGAAUAGCACAAAUGUCUCUAGCCAUUCUCGAUAAUACAGGGUAGAUUGUUGCAUUAUUCUUUCACAAUAUCAAGAUAUCAAACCGCUUAUCUUUUAAAUUAAAAAGUACAUCAUCAUCCAAAUAACUAUUUAGUUCUAAACUCUUUGAUCUUUUUGUAGAACUUUGACUUUUAAACUAAAUAAAAUUUAUACCAAAUUUUAUUUUACUCAAGUUAAAAGAAGAAAUUGAAUUAUAUCACUCUAUCCACCGAAAUUAGAUGUUAGCUCUCUUGAAUCUAUAGAUGUACUCUUAUUGCAUCUGCAUAUUCAUCAUAAAAUUUAUAAAGACAAGCACAAAUAUCAUCAAUCUUUUUUUUGCUCUCCUCUACAUCAAAUGUCAUUUGAUAACAAAAUUCUAUAAAUAUUAACUUUGAUCUAGGAUCCAAAAUAGAAGCAAUUAUCAAUAAAUUAUUGCAUUAAGAUUAAUAUUUGUUGAACUUCUUUUAGAUCCCAUUUGUUAAUUACUUCAAUAUAUCAUUAGUAUCAAUAUUCUCAUCCAUCAAUAAAGCCCUAAUUUCUAAACUUCUUUUAAAUUCAAAUUAGAUGUUGAAUACUUGUAAUCAAAAAAUACUUUAGUGACAUUUAAAAAGUCUUCUAAGAAUUUAAAAAUUAUACCAAUAUGUUUUCAUUCAUCAUGGUUGGGAUAUACACAUGAAUACUCGAUUGCAUAUCUAAUUAAAACAUCUUUAUAACUGGUUACAUCAUUUAAUAUUUCAUAAAUGAAAUUCUAUCUUGUAGCAACAUUCAAAGUGAGUCCUUUUUUUAGCAGAAAGUCUCAUACAUUGCAUAAUUUUUAUUUAAUCUUGCAUUCAAGAUGGGGUUGCAGACAUAUAUCUAAUAAUCUCUCUUAUGCAUUCAAUAGUUUCAUGAAUUAUUUUCAUCUUAUUCUGAAUCAGAAUAUUUAAUAUAUGUGCACAACAUUAAAUAUGACUAUACUUUCCAUCAAAUAACAUUUCAUAGCAAAAAUGAUAUUGAGCCCUUCUAAUUAUAGUAUAAUUUAUGAAGCAAUUAUCUAAAGUAAUAGCACAUAUUUUAGAAUUCAGUCUUCAUUCAAGAAGGUAUUUUCUAAUAGCAUCUUCAAUUGCAAAACUUAUAUGAGGGUAUAUUAGUUUUUUGAAACUAAGUAUCUUCUUAUACAGAAUAAAAUUUAAAUUAAUAUAAUAUGUCAUGAAGAAAAUAUAAUCAAUUUUUUGAUUUGAUAUCUAAAUAUUACUGAUAAAACUAACUCAAGAACUUAAUUUUUUGAAUGUAUGAUGUAAUUUUUUUUUUGCUUGAUACAGAGCCAUAUAAUUACUUCUUAAUUACUAUCUUACAAUCAAUAACAUUAAACAAUGGUUGAAUAAAUCUUAUAAAAUCUGAAAAAAUAGGAUGCUCACCAAUAUGAAAUGGAAGUUGAGCACAUAUGAUAAAUUUUACAAGAAAUUUUUUGCUCUCUUCUUGGUUGAAUUUAAAAGACUUUAUCAGAUCUUUUGAACUUGCUAUAAUAAAUAUUUGAUUAACCGAAUUCUUUCGAUACUUCUUACAAAUAUUUUCAAGAUAUUAUUUUAGAUGAUUGGUUCUUCUUUUAGUAAUAUCAUUUAAUAAUUUUUUACAAUGUUUGCUUAUAGCUAUUAAUCCAUUAGAUUUUCUUUCCUCAACAAAGUGAUUCCAUAUACAAGAUCAUUUUUUAAAACCUUUAUCUCUUUCAAUAGCUUUAAUAGUAUCUUUAUUUUUAUCAUCCUUGUCCCUUAUAUGUUUAAUGGUCUCAUUUUCAUCUAUUUUAGAAUGAGAUAUUAGUAAAAAUAUUAUGUCCAAAUAAGAACAUAGAUUACUAAAAAGAAAAUCAAUAUUCAUGAACUAAAUAUUUGCAAAAACAUGUAUGUUAAUUGGUAAUGAUAAUCUUCUCCACUUAUUUCUUUCUUUUAAAUAGUAUUGUUGAUUUAUUAUAAUAUUAUAAAGUAUUAAUUGAUAUGUCUUAAAUUUAUCGUAAGUGCACGAUGUGUAAUAUAGCACGUCCGACGAGUACGGAUCGAUUCCACAAGGAAUUGAGUUUUAAACUGUAUUCAAAUACUUGCUCAGACGAGCUUUAAAGAAAAAGAGGAGAGAUUGUUUGUUGAAUUACGAACUACUAAAGCAGUAAACUAAUCAAAUAUAAAAGGUAAAUUAUCUAAAAGAUCUAGGGCUUUUGAAUCCACUAGACCAAUGAAUUAAAGAGCUUUCAUAUAGUUUCUCUUAUAAUGUCCCUUGAUUAAGGUGUAAAAUAUGAACAAGCAUGGAUAAUGAAGAGAUUUAACUCAACUAUGAUCCAUCAAGCAUUUUGUUUUCAUCUUAAUUAAGAGACUCUUCCUUUCUUCACUUCUCUUGUGUUGUUCAAGUAUAGGCUAUGAAGGGAUGCUGAUCCAACUAUAACCCAUCAAGAUUUUCAUAAGAAAAGAAAAGAAACGGUUUAGAAAAUUGUGAGCCUUCUAUCAAUCAUCCACUCUUGCAUUGAAUCAGGUAUAGAUUAUAAAGAGAUUUAGCUAGAUAUAGUUGAUUUGAAGCUCGAAAAAAAAUUAAAAUAAAAUCUAAUUCUACUUACUGAAAUUUAAUAUAUGAAAAUUAAAAAUUAUAGAAUUAAAAGAUGCAGAAAUUUAAACUAUCUUAUUGUAGAAAUUAAAAUUACAGAAAUUAAAUAGAAAAAGAACAACUAAUUUAUUGCUGAAUAAAAAUUUUGAUUACAAAAAUUUUGACUCCUAAGCUAUUAACGAGGCUUAAAGUUGAAAUAGAAAAUAAAAUAAAAUUUUUUACAGAAUCAGCUUCUCUCCCUUUUUUGGCUUAUGGCCAACCUCCUUCUGGCUGAUUCUUCUUCUCGUGUGUUGGAAGAAUGGAAAAAAGUUGGAAUAAGGUGAUUAAAAAAAUUUAAAAGGUGGGUAUAUCUGUCUGUCACACAGACCCCUUAUAGGAAUUAUCAUGUGAAGAGAUAUAUUUUCAAUAAGAGGUAUGUAAGUUUUUUUUAUAGAUGUUAAGAGGGAGGAGAUUUUUAUGAUUUUUAAAUAUGAGACUAAAAGGAAGAAUAGGUGACGAUUAGGACUUUACUUACAAAGGAUAGAUGGAUGGAUAGGAAAAAUAGAGAGAGAAAGAUGCCCGCAUCUUGCUAUUUUUGCUCCUGCGCUGCGUGAAGAUCGUCAAAACCAUGUGUUUGCUUGCUAUCUAUUCUCGUGCGAAACCUCUCGAAGACCCGCUUGAGCCCACGUUAAGUCUCAGCCACAUGCCCCUUUAAAUCACGUGGCCCUAUUUGUUUGUUUGUUUGCAUUUGAAUUGCUUGACAUCACGCGCUCACUUAAGCUGAGCCACUGUUUGCUCCUUAUGGACCCAACGUUAAAUGCUCCUGUUAGUCACUUAGCUUUUUUUUUUUUUCAUGUGGUUCACAAAGUUUCUUAUGGACCCAUUGGUCUAUGGUGGACCAUCAAUUUAUAAAUUGAUACGAUAGAUUUUUGGCUUUGAUUUUAGUUUCAUUUCGAUUCUAUCUUUUAUUUCAUUUGAUCCCUUUAAAUCUGCAGAUUGGUAUACCUCUUUUGCAAAAUAUACAAAGAAGCAUCAAUUUUAAAAAAAUAAAAAUAAUUUGAUUUAUAAAUUAAUAUUUUUAUGGAUAAAUUCAUAUACUUAUCACCAAUAUACUAAAUCUUUUGAUUUUAGGGUUUUUGAACUUUCCAAUAUCCAUUCCCAAUGUUAGAAAACUUGAAAAUUUUUUAAAGAUCACCAAAUCCGACGGAAGACAAGAAGGAGGAGUCGAUAGAAGCCUAGAAGGUACCUACUAGUGUUGAUGAACAAUGAAUGACAAUCGACGAUUGAUGAUGAUGAAUGAGGAUGAUUGACGAUGAGAGAACACUGACAGAUCUUGGAGUAGCCAACUAGCCAUGGAGAAUGAGAGAAGUUCAAAAUCCUAUGCCCCAAACUCGAGAGGACGAGGAAUCAAAGAAUAUCGAAGAUGAGGGAAUAUCGGAAGAAGGGGGAGUCAGUAGGAGGUACUCGCUAAGACUGAUGAUGGGCGAACGGCAAACGACGAUCGAUAAUUGAUGAUGAUGGAUGAGGAUGAUCGAUGAUGAGGAAAUAUUGAUGAAUCUUAGCAGGGGUGCAAAUGGAUCCGGUUGGAUCAGGUCAUGAGUGAUCCCGAUCCGAUCCGGUUCUUUAAUCGGAUCUUAAUAUUGGAUCCAGACUCAAUCUAAUAGAAUAUCAGAUUAGAUCGGAUCGGAUCCAUGAUCAAAUUUUUGAACCCAAUUGGGUCAAUGUAUAAUUUGAUCCUAAUCCAUGAAAUACAAGUCCGAUUCGGGUCCAGAUUGGAUCUGAAUUAGAUCAUGGGUCAAAUUAACCAACUGACAUCAACUAUAGCUAUUCAGUCGAUUUUCAUGAGUGGAGUUGAUCUUACUAGUUUACCAUUCAAUGACACUCACGGCAUAAUGAUUUUUGGAGUGGUCAUCAAUAUGUGACAUCUAUAUACCAGAAAAUUGCCAAGAUAUACCUCAUGUAUAUGUGGAAGCCAGUCGUGGGAUACAACUGAAAGUGAAAUAUCUAUUUUUCAUUAAUCCUCCAAAUUUUCUAACUUGAAAAUAUUGUAUAGGUUUGAUACGAAGGAUUUCUUGUGGAGGUUGAAAGAAAGAAGAUAAUGUUUAUUGGGGACUCCAUUAGCUUGAAUCAGUAGGUGCCAUUCAAUUAUAGGGGUGGAAAGGGAAGAAGAUAAUUUUGUGUAAAUGGGCAGUCCACUGUAAUUUAUGCCUAGCCCAUGCUAGCAUAUAAUAGGUUUCGAUUAUAUAAUGAGUUCGGAUCAAAUCAGGUUAUUGAGCAUAUGAUCCAUAUAAAUCUAGAAAUUCAAGUGGGUCGGAUUAGAUCAAAAUUCAAUAAAUUCAAAUUUGACUUGAAAAAUAGAACGAAUCCAAUUUUAAAACCCAAUCUGAAUCUGUAGAUCCUUUUAAAUGGUUCGGAUCGGAUCUCCACGAGUCGGAUCGGAUCGUGAGUCAAUCCGACCCAUUUGCAGCCUUAGAUCUUAGAGCGGCCAACCGGUGGUGGAGGUGGAGAGAACUUCAAAAUCCUAGAGCUCAAAUUUCAUGAGGAUGAAGAAUCAAGGAAUACCGAUAAUGAGGAAAGAUCGGAAGAAGAGGGAGCCGAUAGGAGGUAUUUGCUAGGCUGAUAAACAACGAACGAUGAACGGCGAUCAAUGAUUGAUGAUGAUGCAUGAGGAUGAUCGAUGAUGAGGGAAGACCAAUGGACCAUGGAGCGACCAACCGACGGUGGAGAUGAAAAGAACUUCAAAACCCUAGAUCCAAAAUCUUGAGAGGAUGAGGAAUCAAGGAAUACCGAUAUUGAGGAUGAGGGAAGAUCGAAAGAUGGGAAGAGGAAUUCCAAUUUCUAUCAGGUAUUCGGAUUCGAAGAUUCUUCGAGACGAUGAGAUCGGGCCUAAAGUUAAAACUGAUUAGCUGGCUAGGGAUUGGGCUAACCCCUCCUAACAGCUAAACCUACUUGGCUAAAGAUCCAACUCAGACCAAAUAUUUGGACUAUUGAUUGGGCUUGAAUUCGAGCUUGGGCUUGGGCCGGGCCAAAACUAUACUCGAACUUAAUUCGAAAGACAAAAGGACUCUAUAAUUAGGCCCAAACUCGACUUAAACUAUUUCACCUGUUGAGCUGGCCCGAACCCAAUUCAGGCCUACAUAUUACCUCUUGAAUUGCAAAACAUUAAAAAAGAGAAAAGAAAGAAAAUUAUUUUCCAUGCUAGAAAAAAUAGUUUGCAUUUUUUUUGUUUUGGCAAGAAAAAAAAAAAUCCACGGAUCAAUUUUAAAGAUUUUGAAAAAUGGACGUUUCACUUUUCACCAAAAAUCUAGAAGCAAAUUCAGAUGGAAAAUGAAAAUGAAAAUGAAUUGUGUUUUUUCUUUACCAUUUCCCCUGUAAUAAGCACUUUGAGAAUUGGAAAAAUUCUUUGGUAAUAACCAAGCUUUAUUUCAUUGGCUGUUUUAUCCAUUUUCGAUAUUAUCUAGUGAUAAAGAGAAAUCAUCUUGAUUUGAUUAUCUUUUCAUCUCUGUUCUAAUAUCUUGCAUGAACGGAUGUCAAAUGAUGUAUAAGAUAGCGAAAUAACGAAGCAUCGAUCAUCUUCUUGCAAAUUGUACAGCUCUACUCUCUUGUUGUAGCUCUACACAAAUCACGUCACAUCUAAGAUUGUUGAAAAAUUCAAUUAGCAGUUCCGGCCGGUUCUCCUGUACACUCUCCAAUUAAUGGGGAAAAAAUUAGUGUAAUUCCAAUCAUGGUGGUUACCAGUAGUCCAUGCAAGAACAGGAUCCUUUCCUGAAGUGAUGGAAUCUAUUUGCAUCCCUAACAAUUAUAUCCCUCUCAUAGAUCUCAGUAAGAAGCUUUAUGGCAGAAUGACAAUCUCCACACAUCCGGAGGUUCUUCACCACCCUAAUGGUGGUGCCUGCUUUGGUGCUGAUAAGUCCAAAGGCUACUGCAAUCUUCUCACUAUGAAGAGCCAAGGAGCUUUCUUUCACUUCUUCUUCAUCUAUAUCCAGUAACACUUGUGUAGUAUCAGGCUCAUAUCCUGCAAGCUUCAAUCGCUCCCCGAUUUCAUCCAUCAUCUCAUAUAUUUCCUUCUUCCUUGGUUGAGAAACAUCUCCAGCUAUGAAUUCAUGGACCACCCCACCCAAUUCAAUGGAGCUGCAGCCAGGCACCUUCCUUACUCCUCUCUCUGACAUCAUUUUCCUCACCUUAUGAACUCCAUUCCAGUUAUUCGCCAUGGCGAAAAUAUUCGAUAGCAGAACAUAUGCAGCAUGAUCAUCAGGAGCCGCUUUAACAAGCCUAAAUCCAGCCUUCUCACCUAACUCUAGAUUCCUAUGGAUUCUACAAGCACCCACCACAGCCUUCCACAUAACUGCAUCGGGUUCCAUCGGCAUUCCUCGAAUCAUCUCCUCAGCCUUUUCGAACAAACCUGCACGACUGAAGAGAUCCACCAUGCAUCCAUAAUGUCCAAUGUCGGGCUCAGUCCCGUAAACAUCAUUCAUCUUCCUGAAAUAUUCGAUGCCUUUAUCGACCAAUCCUCCAUGGCUACAAGCAUUCAAAACACAAGCGAAGGUGAUCCUAUUAGGCUCCACCGCCGACGACUCCAUCCUAGAGAAGAGCUCCACAGCUCUUGAGCUCUGCCCAUUUGUUGUGAAACCAGAUAUCAUAGCAUUCCAAGCAUCCGCACUCCUGCAAUUUGUCACCUCAAAUGUGUAGACCGCACCUUCGAUGCAUCCACACUUGGAGUACAUAUUGAUCAGCGCCGAGCUAAGGUUCUCAUCGAGCUCGAUUCCAUGCCUGUUGAUGUAAGCAUGUGCCCAUUGGCCUUGGCCCAGAGCACCCAAAUGGCUGAGCGCAGAAAGAACACUGACCAAAGUCACUCUAUUUGGGCGGCAUUCAUGGCUCUCCUGCAUCGACCGGAACGUCAUGAUGGCCUCCUCAAACUCCCCCAUCUCGAUGUGAUACGCCAUCAUGGUGUUCCAAGACACCACAUCACGAGCAGGCAUCCUGGAGAAGAGAUCAUGAAGAGACCCCCCAUCUUUGUUAUCCGCAUACCCUUCGAGCAUACUAUUCCAUGCAACAACAUCCAGCUCGGUACUUCCGUCGAACACCUUGCGGGCGUCGCCGAUGCGGCCACAGACAGCGUACAGAUGGAUGAGCUUGUUGCGGAUGUGGGGAUUGGAAUGGAGCCCGUGCUUGACGAUGUGAGCAUGGAGCUGGUGGCCGAUGGGCAGAGCGCGCAAUUGGGUGCUCGCCUUGAGAGCAAACGUGAAGGUGAAGUGAUCGGGCUCGGCGGAGGCGAGGAGCAUUUGGUGGUAGAUGUGGAUGGAUUGGAGGGGAAUUCGUCUGUUGAGGUGGCCCCUCAUGAGGGUGUUAAAGAUGAAGGUGGGGGGGUGUUCGAGGGAGCGGAGGACCUUCUCGGCGUGCUGGAGGCUGCCAUGGUCCGAGAUGGCGUAGAAUUCAGCGAGGCGGCCGGCGGAGUAGGCGUCGGUGGCUUGGGAGGAUUUGAUCAUGAGGGCAUGGAUUUGGUUGGCCUCGUGGAGGUGGGUGCAGAGUUGGAGGAGGGAGAGGUUUGAGUUCUGGACUGGUGGACUUUGGGUUGCUGGAAUUGCUUGGGGGAUGGAGAAAGGAAUGGAGGCCACUGAAGUCAUGGUGGGUUCCCUCCGGUGUCCAAUGUUAACAGGAAACCACAAGAUUUUGAUAAUUUGGUUGGAACAUAUGUUUUAAGUCUUUUAGAAGUUGGAACCCAUUUCAGGAAAAUCUGACAUAAAAAAAUAAAUUUUAUAUCAAAUUAUUAUAUAAAUAUAAAAAAUAAAUGAAAUAAAUAAUAAAAUAAAUAAAUUAUAUCUUAUACUAAAUGUAUCGUAUAUGGUAGCGCAUCAUGUCAGUCACCUCAUCUUAUUCCAAUAGAUUUUCAUUCAUCAUGCAGCCCAUAGAUUUUUUAUGGACCGUAGGAAUGAGAUUAGAUGGUUGGGAUGGUGCAUCGUCAUAUGAUAUAAGAUAUAAUUACUCUAUACUAACUACUUUCAUUUAUGACAUCCGUGGCUCCGUGCCAUGUGUCAAGCCAGCUGAGAAGAUUUUUGAUACUACAGUUGUAUUUUGUAAAUUAAAAUUAAUUUAUACUAUUUCUAUUAACUAACAACUAAGACUUUACAACCAUGUCUUUUGUUAGGGGCCAGACUAGAUACCAACUGUUUGCCAAAGUAAUGUUAAUGAUGGGCAGCAAAAAGGUUGCACUAUGAUAUUAGUGUAUAUUGUCUUUUUCUGAAGCUUGUAUUAUUCUAAUUAAUUUACCUAACAUCUUCACAUGAAUCUCUACUCUCUAAACUUAUAUAAACCGAGUUCAGCUUCAACUUACUAUUUUUAUUUAGAAAAUGAAAUUAAAAGAAUUUUAAACUAUUUCUAGCUUAUCAUUUGUUUCCCAAGUGCUACAGAAGAACCAUUUUGCCUCAGUCAAGGUCUAAAUGCAUCUCGACCAGUCUCCAUAUCUAUCACUGUAUACUGUAAAAGCAAAAAAAAAAAAAGGGCCAAAGCCACCAACCUCUUAAUUUUCUUGCUGCUUAGUAUAAAACAUUUUUGUCUUUGAGAACAACCCAGUCCCUCUCAAAUGUUGUUUAAAAGCCAUGUUAUCUAGCUGAAAAUCACCACCAUGCCUGAUCCUACUAACUAAACCUUUGAUUAGCAUGCCGGCAGAUUGUACAAGAAAAAUGAAAAAUGGUGCUAUUCUUGUGCCGGUGCCAAUUAAUCUCUUCAGCUGUGAAAAAAAAAGGAAGAUUAAGUUAUGUGAUCGAUGGUUGCCACUCUUCCCUCUUUUUUUUUUUUUUUGGAGGAACAUGGGGUUUAAAUCCAAUAAAGAAAAGAUUUUGGCAUACAAGUGGGGACCUAAUUCAACAUAUAAGUCGUUAAGUUUUGAACUGGAUCAUCUUUAUGAAUCCAUCUACCUUCUAUUUUCAUAUUCUAAUAAGUCUCAUAUGUGAUCCUCAACAUUCUUUCUCUUUGGAUAUGAUCAGUUAAUUAAGCUCCUCCGCGAUUACAUUCCAUUGCUCUUCAACCAAGCACUGUACCUAAUUACACUUUUUAAGUGCAUUGCUUCAGUCUAACAGCCCAAUCACGAAGAGUCAUACUGCAAUUUAUUAUUAUUUAUUGCUCAAGUCCAAGAAUCACUUGCUCCACAUUUCUUCAUGAUGGCCAUCGAGUUUGUCACAUCAAUUGACACAUUAUGGAAAUGAUUUGAUUCUACCAACCCACAUUAUUAUUGUUUUCUACAAGAGUAACCAAUUUCGAUGCUUUAUAAGAGUUGUCCAGGAUUGCCAACAAUCGGCUCUACUAUCAAUUAUCAGAACCACAUGGUUAACUAAAGAAAAUAAUAGAAAAUAAAACCAAUAGGGUACAUCCAGGGUCUGUUUGGUUGGAAUACAUUAGAAUUUGAAAUAAUUUGAUAAUUUUUAAAAAUUAUUUAUCUGAAAAAAUAAUUAUAGAAGAAAAUAAUUUUUAUCAUAUUUGGUUAGUUAAAAAAUUAUUUUAAAAAAUAAUAUUGAAAAAAAUUAUUAUAUUUAUCUGGAGAUAAAUCUAUAUAGGAAUAUGAUUAAAUUUAUAAAUAUAUCUUCUAAUAUAAAAUAAUUUUUAAUACUAGAAUAGCAUUGUCAUCUCCAAUUAGUUUUAAAUGAUGACUAUAAUCACGUAGCCCUUCACAUAAUAUCAUAUAUAUUUUAUUUUUUUUAUAAAAUUUUUUUAUUGAAUGAAUUUAAAAAGAUAUUAGAACAAAUUCAAUGAUUGCAUAUGCAGGGAUAUUUUUAUCAAGUAUGGAUGACCAUCACUAAAAAAUUUAUCAAAUACCAACUACUCCAUGAUAUUUAUUUUAUCUCCUCUCUUCGAAAAAUAAACAUGGGCUCAGUAAUUUUUUUACCAUCUCUCUUUUUUUUUUCAUACUAAAUAUGAUAAUUUAAUAUGAGAUUCAUUUUUUCAUACCAAAUUAUCUCAAAUAAAAUGGAUCUUUAGAUAUAAUAUUAUUUACCCAAGAUCCAAGCUGCAUUCAUGGAGGAGUGAGUGAUCUAUUGUAAUAUUCAUAGAGUACAUGGCCUUGUUAUAAGAGUUCAACAAGAGAAAUCAAUUCAAAGAACGUAUAAGAGAGAUCAAUACAAGUAGAGAUCUUGUGAAGAAGUCCAACAUAGAAGAAGUAUAUCGCUACGAAACCGUUGAGUUAUCGAGAUCAACGUAGAACUCCAAAUUCCAAAAUACUCUCUCUCUCUCUUCUUUAAUUUCUUUCUUCACUUUUUCUCUCAUCCGCUCGGGAGUUGUGGAACACUCUUCAUACUGCUCUGUAGAACUCUUGUGAAACAACUUCUAGCAACUCGCUAUUCCACACAGCUUCAAGGAACAGCCAUACCCUUUAUGAUAAGGAGAAUAGUUGCUUCUUUAGCUACGUCAGGACUCAAGUGAAGGCAAAAGGAUGCUUUAUCCUUUUAUGUCUAGGAAUUAGAGAACCAGCAACUUGUUGGCUGUUUGAAACAAGCUAGUCUCAAACAAGUGUUGAUCUCGGCUUAGUGUUGGACUGAGUAUCCAAAUUUGGUAUCACGACAUGGUAAAGGGGAGCCAUUUUCUAACAUUCUCCGUCUUAGUCCAAAUAAAUACAAGAAAAAUCAAUACCAUUAGGGAUCUUGAUGAGAAACCUUACAUAGAAGAAGCACUUCACUAAGACACAUCUGAGAUAUUGAGAUCGAGGUAAAACUCCAAAAUAAUCUCUCUCUCUCUCUCCCCCUUCUUUUUCUUCUUCUUCUCUCUCUAUCCCUCUCCGUCUCUUGCCUCUUUCUCUCAUUCACUUAAGAGUUGCAGAAGACUAUUAGCACCACUCUGUAUCACUCUUAUGGAACAACACUUAGCAACACCCUGUUCUACACAGCUUCAACAAACAACCAUACACUUUAUAAUAAAAAAAAACACUCUCUUCUCUAAUUAGAGUACGACCUAAGUCAAGGAGAAACGAUGCCUCGUCCCUUUAUGACCAGCAAUUAGAAAACCAACAACUUAUUGGUUGUUUGGAACAAGGUAGGCUCAAAUCGAACUAUACUCGAGUUCGAACCUUAAUCUUUUCAUAAUUAAUAUAUAGUUAUACAAAUUAUAAAUAAAAAUAAUAUUAUUAAAAUUAUUAUAUUAUAAACUUGAAUAGAUUCAUGGACUUUCAAGCUGAAUAUUUUGUUAUUUAAGCUCGAUUAUAGCUAAGUCAAGUGGAGCUCGAGCUGCUCAACUCAAUCGCACCCCCGACAUCCCGAGUUAGUCUUGACUUGACGUUGAGAAGUGCAGUAUCCAAAUUUUGGUACGACAAUAUGAACAAGAGGUGUCACAUUCUAACGCUCUCCAUCUUAACUUUCAUUGUCAAGCCAACCAAGAGGUUUUAGAGAAACACUCUAUUAACCAUCUCUCAAGUAACACUUUCUCCCCCAGGAGCAAUAGCUAUUUCCAUUUACUUUACCUAAGCACCGCUUGAAUCCACUCCUCGUACCACUCAUAGCUUUCUUCCACAAACUCCAUGGAGAAUCUGCUUUUGUCGCUAUGGCAAAAGUGAUCCUAGAUGGAGGCCUAUGUCCAACAUCACCAUCCCAAGCAUCAUGUUUCAACUCUUUGUACAAACCAUCGAAACUCUACCUGCUAACACGUGUCUAAUCAACACAUCUUCAAGACAUAUUGCACCUCACUCAGAGUAAGUAUUACUCCAUCAAACGUCUGGAUUUUUUUACCGUCCCUACACCAUUGAGCUCACAAACUAAACCAUCAUCCAACUGAAUAGUAGUUUCCUUCACCUCAGAAAUUAAAUCGACUCUUUUUGGAGUAAACAUGAUUAGAACUACUGGAAUCCAAAAUGCAAGUCGGUGCUAAAAUUUGCUGCAUCACCAAAAUUCAUGAUCAGGCCAUUGCAUGGGUGGGGCAUCAAGCUAACAACCAUCGCUCAAUUGUUGCUAAUUGGCUGAUCGAUCGGUGUAUCAAAAUAAUUCAUAUACUCUUGCAAUAAAGCUCCCUCGUGCAUCUAUUUUAUUUGACAUGGAUCUUCUCUCACAUAUACUUCUCAACUUUUCUCACAAUGUUUAUGAGAAAACAUUAAGCAUGGUCCAUUCAUUGAGUGCCAAAUAAAAUCGGCCAACGCUAUCUUAUCUUGCGGAUAUCCUCAACCUUGUUUUUCACAAUUCUUAAGUAGUGAUUUCUAAAGAAACAAUAAAUAGGACUGGGUCAUUGAUACCACGUAUUAGAAAGGAAUAGGGAGUUUUGAGUCCAAUCAACACAAGGCUUUUUUAUACAAUUGAAACUUAAUUCAACUUAAAAAAAUUUAAUCUCCUAAUGUUUGGACUCCAUCAUCUAUACGAAUCUCUCCAUCUCCCACUACUAAUUACAUAUUGGACUCAACAUCAUACUUGAUCCCUCCAACCCUCCUCUGCCCCUUUUAAUUCUAUGUUGUGAAUAUUAAAAGAUAAAAAGUUCUCAACCCAUCAUUCUGAAUUGCAUUCUAAGGCAGCAACCCAACUACUCGCAUUAGGAAACCGUGAUCCAGCCACUCACCUACGCCCCGGCCCUUCUCGUCACGUGCACGGCACCUGAGGUCAUCCGCACUCUGAAAUAGGAACCAAUGUCCUGGCGCGAUUUGGGCCAGCGUUUCCAUAAACGCUCUCUGUCCGUCUUUCUCUUCCGAUCGCACCUCCCGUCUUUCGCAAUGGCGGAGGCUUCCGAUCUCUUCCUUCGUCAUCUCGAAGAAUUCGCUGCCGAUGAGAUGGACGAGCAAGCGGACCUCCCCGAAACCCUAGAUCCGCCCCCUUCCUGGCUCCCGGCCGCCUACGGUGGCGCGCUCGUCCUUGAUCUCCCCGUCUUCUCCCACGAUCCCCCCGAUCCAGGCGAUUCCGACCUGGAUCCCGAAGAGUCCUCCGACGAUCACGCUACUCUCGCCCUCGAUCUCUUUGAUCGAUCCUCCGCCCGCCGGAUCGGCGCCGCCCUGGCCCCCACCAUGGAUCUCUUCCCCGAACCGUUCCAAUCCCCUGAUUUUAGGGUUUCCGAGGGCCCGGAGGAGGUAGGAUCAGAAUACCUUGGGUUGGGGCUGGGUUUAGGGUUGGGAUCGGGGUUCGAGGUUCAGGAAGAUCCCGACGGCGCGGAGCGGGAGGUCAUGGUCUCCGAUUGGGGAGCUGAUGAUUUCUUUUUGGGAAGGAGGAGCUCGCCGUCGGAAUCGAUCGAGUUUUCCAGGGCUCGUCCUGUUGAUUCGGAGGGCCUGAGGAUCGUCGGGUUCGAUUCGGAUUCAGAUUCGGAUGAGCAGAUCGUCGCCAUGGGUGAUGAGCAGAUUAUUGCCAUCGGCGAUGGUGGCGAAUCCCAGGAUCGGAUCAACGACGAUCUUGGCCUUCCCCUAUGCUGGGACCGCCUCCAACUGGAGGAGCAAAGGAGGGACCUGAACAUAGAAUUGGAAUGGGAGGAGGUGGACGACCGGCUCGAAGAGAGGGAUGUUGUUAGUAUCAUGGUCGUCGGCAAUGACGAGAGAUCCAAUGAAGUCAGAGAAUUCAACCAUGGUGAAGCAGAACAGGAGGAAGACGCAGCUAGGAAUAUUGAAUGGGAGGUUCUUUCAGCUGUGAAUAAUUUGGGAAGGAACGGUUUCGAACCAGAGGAUGUGGAAUCCUAUUUUGUUGAUGAUCAUGAGGGCUUUGUCUACACCUCGGAUUAUGAGGCCUAUGAGGUCUUGUUUGGGCAAUUUGCGGACUAUGAUAGCUCUCUUAAGGGUAGUCCUCCGGCAGCCAAAUCAGUGGUCGAGAACCUCCCGUUGGUUGUGAUGAUGAAAGAAGAUGUUGAUAACAAUAACAAUGUCUGUGCAGUAUGUAAAGAUGGGAUUUUGGCAGAGGAAAAAGUGAGGCAACUUCCAUGCUCCCACCAUUAUCAUGAGGAGUGCAUUUUGCCGUGGCUCGGUAUUCGGAACACAUGCCCCCUUUGUCGGUUUGAGUUGCCGACAGAUGAUCCAGAAUAUGAGAAGUGGAAGGCACGGAGGGCUGGUAAUAGUGUAGAUUCUCAGGUCAGGUAUGAGUUUGAAAUGUUACCUGAAGCUUAGAACUCAUAAGCAGGCAGUCCUGUUUUUAUUGAUCGUGGGUUGGAUAUGAUUUUCGGAUGCUGUUGUAUUACGGUUAUAAAAAUUUACUGUUUUUUUUAAGAAAGAGUGUAGCCGCAAUCAGACUUUUUGUUGGAAGUUACCAAUGGACCAUUGGCGAAUUAGAUAUUUAAGAGAUUGUUGUAUAUCGAUACCAUCCUCAAUAAGUGUCAUUGCUAUGUAAGUUUGUUACCAUUACAUCAUAUAAAUUUAUUUAUUUAUUGCUGUUGUUAUGUGACAAGGCUUAUUGGUGAGUACUAAGGUUCAUUAUAGCUGCAAUCUAGCCAAACAAAGUGUGCAUGCUUGAUUUUUAUAUAUAUGUUGAUAAAUUGGUUAUAGGAGAUUCUUUAUGAGAAUUUCUUUUGAAACCAUUCUUGCAGCUUGGUCUCAUGCUUUGCACACAUUCUGUUUUAUUUUCCAUUCUUUGCACCAAGGAUUAUUUAUCUGGUAGUUAUAUUCAUUAGAUAUCAGUUUGGAGUGCGAAACAAACUUUGUUGGUAGUUUUUCAGAAUAGUUAAAUGUUCUGUGAUGAUUGAUUAAUUGGAAGUGGUGUGGUUAAAUCAAUUGCUUAUUUUGAUCUUCAUUUCCUUUGGAUAUUAGAUCUUAUACUCCAUUGUGUAUUUAUACUAUUCUUUCAAUGAGGAGGUAAAGCCAAAAUUGGUAAUGUUUGUUGUGCAUGCACGUUUUAUGUAGUGAAAGCCGAAGAUUAUGGAUGACUCUUGUUAGUAAAACCACAAGAAGGCUUUAUCCUUUUCUUGUGCUAUAGUUAACGAACUCUUGCAUUGAUGAUUUUUCUCGAGCAUCAUAUAUUAGUCAGAAAUUGUAAGAAAAAAAACAAUAUUUUUCUCAAGCAUUAUAUAUUAAUUGCCAAUCAUGAGGAAAAAUCUUACUGUUUUGAAUUUUCGAGUAAAAUGGUUUUGACUCAGGCUGCAAAAAUAUAACCAAAACUUUGGCUGUGGCUUCUCUUCCUCUACCUCUCCCUCUUCCUACUUCUGUUUUGGCUGAUGGUCCUUGAGUUAAUAGUCAUCAUGGUCACAUCAUUUUCAUAUUUUCCAGCAUGAUUGUGAAUGAACUCAUGCAAAGUGGGAAUUCUUGAACUAUCCAGUCACAUUAACAGAACAUAUCCUAUUUCUUUUGGUUCAUUUUUCUUUUCCCUCUUCUACAAACAGCAGGCUUCACUAUUGAUAUUAGCCACUAUUUAGGUUUUGGAAUUGACAAUCUUUGCAUAUCUUUUCAGAUCCAACAACACUUGUUGAGCCAUUUUUGAGGACUUUUACAUCUUACUUAUCAUAUGACACUCUAGAUUUCUUGUAAGUCUAUAUUGAACUCUGGCUGUUCAAUGAGUCACCCUUGUGUUAUGGAGAUAAAAUUAUAUGCAACUCUCAACAGAUGUAAAUAUUAAUGUCUUAUAGAAUUCUUAUGGUCUCUAACUAUGGCUUCUGCUUCAUACUAUUGCUUCGUAUCAAAGUGAAGACUACAGAACGGUUAACUUCAAAUAUCUUACUGCAUCAUUCCCUUUAACCUCAACAAGAGAUUCCCUCAUAGGGUUCUAUAUAUCUUGUAAAUCAUGCUGACUGCUUCUCGCCAUAACGUGCUAUUCAUGCUUCUCUUCUUCUUCUUUUUUCUUUUUUUUUUUUUGAUUAAACUAAAUCUUUCUUGAAUGUACUAUUGUCACCUGACAUCAAUGUCGACAUCUUCCUUACUGGAUCAUGCCCCCAUGACCCGGUUUAUGUCGUUCUUCCAUUUGCAGGAUCUGAAAGAAAAAUCAUAAUCUGGAAUGGCCUUCAUCACUUGAUAUGGCUUUCUUUUCUGCAGUGAUUUUUGUUGGAACCAUUCAUUAAAAAUAAAUUCAGUCACCUAAACCUCUAACUCAAUAUAUUUCCCAAAGUACUCAGCCAUUAAAACACAAUAAAAGUUGUUAUUGAUAAAGUUGAAAUGCUUCUUUUCUUUCCAUAUAUCUUUGAAACGAUCAUUUAUCACAAGGGAAAUCCAUAUAUGCUUACCGAAUGAAUUUACUUUGAAUUUUAGACUUCCGAUCUAUGAAUCUAUGCUAUUGUAUAGAAUAGGUUUCUUCUGCAGUGAGUCAUCACAACUUUUGUAUUUAUCCAACAAUGCAGUAUUCGCAUCUUCAGUUUAUGCAUUAUCCAAUGAUAUAGUGCUUAUAUCUUCAAUUUUGUAUCUUGUCAUACAUGCAUCUCCAAUAUAGGAAAUGUAGUUCUUGGAUUUUCUCUUACUUGAAUGCUGCUAAAAUUUGAUGAAUCCAAACACUUUCGCUUUCUAAAUAUGCCUGCCAGUGUUUGUUAGAUGUUUCCUCCUCUUCUUGGGAACACAUCUGGAUGAGCAGCGAACUUCCCACCGGAAGUGGGUACUGAACUUCCGUUGUUCAUUGAAAAGUGUGGAAACCUUCAUCCUCUUUUGAUGUGCAUACAGCAAGUCUUUUUAUCUAGUUAAACCAACAUGCAGAACCUGAAACCCCAAAUCAGUUCAGGGAUGAUAAGAUCUUGUGUUCUGGAUACAUUGAGUUAAUGGUCUGCAACAAUAGAUUUGUCAACUGGCUGGUUUGCUUAGACAUUGUAGAAACACAAGUUUCCGCUAUGCGGGGGAAGCAGGUUUCCUCUCGUCCGGAUGCAUAUGUUGACUGACAGGAAGCUGGGGCAUGCUACAAACUUGUACCAUAGGGAUGGGGGAGGAGAUGAUGGUUGUGGGUUUUUUGUUGCAGGUUUGCAGUUGACUCCAGUUUGCUCCUAGCGGUACUAGCAGGCUUCUGGAUUCAUGUCAUAUUUCUUUUUUAUUGCACCCCUUAUGCGCUGCACCCUUAGCUGGAAGAAACAUAUGUAUUCUUUUAGAAAUAAAUUUUCUGUCACUAUCAGAUGAUGUAUGGCAACCUCAAGGGACUACCAAGGUUAUGUAGAUGAGCAGUUACCUGUUCUAUUUCCCAGAAGUGACUUUCUAUUCCUGCCGUCUGAAGCUCAUCCAUGAUCACAUCAAAUUUUCAGAUUUUUAGGAUACCAAAAUGCCACCAUUGGUGGUAUACGAUGGCUUUGGCUUUAUAGUGUACCGCUAGAAUGAGAAAGAUAAAAAAUUAGCAUUUAAAUCCCUGAUAUUUCAGUGGCUUUGUUGCCCCCAAUGAGGCACGAGCUGGUCUUCCUCUCCUCUACAAUAACAAGAAGAAUGGGAAAAAAAAAAGGAACGAAGAAUCCUGUAAUCCACGUGAUCGGCAUAGGAUGCUCUUUGCGAGUGACUGGUUACAUUUGUUUUUUCUAUUCCUUGAGAAAAAGUCCAGCGAAGACGUAGGGGUCAUCAAAUUUGUUUUCUUAAUCGCUUUCAGAUUAUUAAAAAAAAAAAUCAUUUUCUUAAUUAAGAAUCGAGUGCAAGCAUCUUGAUUUGCACAAAUAGUUGGUAGAGGAACAUAACCGGUGAUCUAUUUAGAGGACUUAUCUAAAUACAUUGGAUAGUUAUCCUCAUCCUAAGAGGGAAAAAAAAAAACAAGAAGCUAACUGGAAAGUAUUUUUUUAGAUCUAUUGAUCUUCUAUAAAUAUCCAAAAACUAUCUAAUGUAUAACCAGCAACGGACUAAAUACAUGUCAUUCCAUCCCUUCACAGCUUAUCCAACCUAUUCCACCAACCUCACGAAAGAAAUAUUAAUAGCCUGGUAAGCCAUGCUUGCUGGAGCAUGAAAAUGCUUCCUUGAAGGAUCUACCUGGAUGCUUCAUUAGACCUUUCUAAUAGCCAAAUUCAACUGUUCAUCGAUCGCCUAUCCUCAGAGCCCAGGAACGGUGAUAAUUCCUUUCAUCAUCAUGAUUGCAUAAAUUCAAAAUUUCUUAGGACCACCAUAAUUAAUUCGGUGCGAGGUGCUCCGGACCGGCCUCUGGAUGGAACGUCCUCUGAAGAUAAUAUCGGGUGGCUUAAUGUGUACUAGGGACAAAAAAACACCAGAGGUGAAACACGACCUACCCUUGGUCUAGCUCUAAUGAAGAGAUGGACAAUCAAGAAAAAUGCUCAGGGAUGCUUGUUGAGUGCCUAAAGUUCCUCAGGGCCAUAAAUUGCUGAUUUGGCAACUAAACAUUCAUAAGUUACACCACUUCCCCCAUGAUGCAUAGCAGGAAAACCAUUUACACAGAGAACAGAGUCCUGUAGGCUGCAACGUUACUUUCCAAUCAAUGGCCCAAUCCCCCAAAAAAUAGCAAUUUAAUGAAUCUGCUAGCUUUUCACCACAUCCACUGGUGACCUGUGGACCUGCUGUACAGAAAGGAUUGCGUUUCAGAGAGGAGGACAACAUAUUACAAACUACACAAGAUGCUUUUAUUAUUCAAUAUCCAGAAACUGAUAGAAAAUUGGGACCAUCUGUUCUAAUGUCAGUUUAGUGAGGCAAUUGACCUGUUUUGACUGUUGAUAUUGCUGGUUUUGACGACGUUAACAGUAGAGCAUGCAAAAGAUAAGUUGAUGGUACAAAGUCAAAGUAAAACCAAUCAAGCAGCCGCUCAUCAUGGGUUGAGAAUUAUGCUGGAACCAGUGCAUUAUAGCUUGUCAAAGUUUGUUAUGAACUUCCUCACUGCAUUGAUCACUGGGAGAGGGUUCUCCCAAUGCACAGCAUGGCCACAGUCUGGAACUAUAACCAUUUCAGAUAACUGUACUCUUUCAAUGUGAUCUUUACCUUCUGAGCAUGUCCUGAUUUCACUGCACAUUUGCUUAGAAAUGUCUCUGAACUUUAUAUCCUUGUCUCCGGCAAUGAAGAGAAGAGGCUUCUGGCAGUGUUUCAAGUCUUCCCACAAAGACCUAUCAUGACAGUGAUAUAUUAUGGGAAUCAGUUCUUCACCAUCCACAGUUCCAAAUGAAUGGAAGAUUUGAAUUCAUGAUGCAAACAGUAGUCUGGCUCCAUGGAUAAUUUGAUGAAAAGGUCGGCUGAAACUCACUGGAAUGACAAUCACUGCCUUGCAGUAUGUUAGACAUGCCUUCUUGAUUAGUUGACCAGGCAAGUGAAAGUUUCAAGUAAAGGGGUCUUUUUUGAAAAAAGAAGACAUAAGAUCUAUAUGUUACAAACUUCUUAGUUACAUAGUUCCCAGCAAUUCCAUGACAAUUUUAUGAAAUGCAAGGAAGGCAAAUCAAACCAUUGAUGCCGUGGAUACAGAACGAAAACUUAAUUUCUUAGUAAUAUAGUUGCUUUCUUUGGAGUUCUCUUAUCUAAAACUUAAUUUAACAUUUUUUAACAUGGGCAUGCGACUGAUAUUAGCUAUACAAAUUGAAGUCAAUAUAUGGCAGAAGUGUUCCACUAAAUAACAGGAGGAAUAACCGUCCGGAUAAUAUAGGGGAUAAAAUUGUGUUACUAGUGCAUUAAUAUUUUUACUAGGCACACUUUUCCACUUCAUAUUUGAAAUUAUAGGUCCAAAAAAACAAAAGGCCUAUAACCUCGUCAAAAGAUGAUCUCAAUUUAAAGAGAAUAAUUUUGAAAAAAUGUACACAUUACUAAUUAAAAUAAUACAUUUGCAAAAGUCUUCCAUUAACAGAAGGAAAGAGAAAUGACCAUUUGGGCAACAAAAGGACUAAUAUUAUGCUACCAUUAUCUUAGUAUUUUCUGUAAGUACACUUCUCAACUUCAGGCUCAGUAUCGUAGGUAAAAAAUAUUUAUAAGCUGAAGAGAAUUGUCAUCCACAUUGAAGAUGGUAACUUUGAAAACAUGGUCACAUGUAUCUAUAGAAGAUUAUAUUAUUAUAUUGAAAAAGUCCAUUUCUUGUGAAUAAUGAACCAAGUUUGUUGAUAGAAUUUAAGGAAGAAGAUAUGACAGGAGAUGGUAAACUUACAAUUGCUUUCCAAUGCUCAAGUCUGAGAGAACUUUUGCAAGAGCCUGGAUGUCACUAUGCUUUGCACGAUUUCUGACUAUUUCAUUGAAAUGUGGAUGAUCUCUCAAGCUGUGAAUCAGAAGAUUUAGACACUUGCUAGAUUACUGAUACAAUCAAGGGUACAAGGAUAUCUGUGUAUGGUUGUGUAUUUUCAUUUCUGGUCCAUUAUAAAUUUAUAAUAAGUGAAGACAAAAGAAACAUUAUUGAUUUGCACCAUAUGAUACUAAAAUUUUCUAUCCUACUUGUCUUAUUCAUACUUAAGGUGCUUAAUAUAAUUUCAAUAUGAUAUUAUUGGGUAAUCACCUUUUCCAUAGGCUGCCAGCAUACCAUAUAUCCAGAAAAUAUUGCAGACCGUGUGCUAAUAGGAAGUGAGCCCUUGCUUCAUCUUGUGCACUACGAAUUCUUCUAGCUGCCUUAUCUCUUAAUCCUGGACUUCCUGAUAUUAUAACAGCUCCAUUGAUCUUUGUGAUUGCAAUUGUGUUAGUUUUCAAUAUAAAAAAGAAGGUUACAACAAAGACUUCCAUGCAGUCAUAUUACCUUUUCAUUGUAUUUCAAUGCCAUGUACAGUGCAAUCCUAGCACCCAUCGAAUAUCCGACAAGAAUGACACCUCCAGAGGUAAUAUCACAGAUUAACUUCAUUAAUAUAUCUGCAACUGCUUCAACUGAGAUAUUCAGCUUUUGCUUCGAGCUCUUAUCCAUAUCCCAUUGCACCUGAGAUUCCCCGUGGCCGGGAAGAUCAAUAGAAAUGCAUCGUGCAGUGGAUGAUAUAGCCUUCAUUAUGGGAACCCAGUCUUGACUUGUACCCAGAAAGCCAUGAAGAUAGACAACUGCUUGCUUCUGCAUCAAUUCAGUCCAGUCCUGAUAUAGUUUAGAGUAUCCUAAUCAGAUAGAUGUUGCAAUAGAAUAGUCAAAUUCAAUAGAAGAAAGCAACAGAUUAGCAUUUCUGCAUCCUGAAGUAACAUUUGGAUAUCAUAGCCAUCAGAUUGUGCAUGGUAGGUGAACAAAAAGUAGCUAUCCUGCCUAUCCAUAUCUCGACCAUGCUUCCCCUGUCCCAACAAAAACAUUACCCAUAAGUAGGAUAGGAAAAAAAAAGAACGGAGCUAAAACUCCAUCCAGAUAAGCAAAGGCUACUAUAGAAAUUCCCUCAUUUUAUCACUUUACAAGACCACAUUUCAUCAUCUAUUUAUCUGCCCAGUGUGUAUACAGCUCCACUUGUUCUCAUCACCUGUGAGGUGAAGGGAAACAUUUUAUAGAGUCAUUUCCAAAAAAGAUGCCCUCUUUCGACCUUGAUGGUUUCUGUGGAGACUGGAGAGUAUCAUUCUCGAUAGGUUGACAAGCUCAAUUACAAUCUCAAAAUCACUUCAUAAAGGUGACAGGAAUGUUGAAUAUCUGCUACUAGCUACAUAACAAUUGUACAAAGUGGGAGAGCAAGCAGACUGGUCUGGAUGGACAAGUAGGCUUGUGAAUGGGUCCGACUUGGUUCAGAUCCAUAUUGCAUCCAUAUCCGAAUUCGAUAAGAAAAAAUCAAGUUCGGACAAACAAUCAGAUUGGAGUUGGGAUAUCGCCCCCCCCUCCCCCCCCAACCCUUUCUUUUUGAGUUCUAUUAAGUACAUGGUUUUAGUAGGCCAACUAGCCAAGGGUUAACAAUUUCCAAACUAGGACUAUUAUCACAAUAGUCCUCUGUAUAUAGUGAAUAUGUGGCAAAAUGUAGUUGGGAUAAAAGCAGGAUACGGAGACCGAGUGAUCGGUUUGGAAAAAAAAUCCAAAUAUGUUUGAAAUAGAUUUAAAUAUAUAGCUAUGUUUAGUUUGAUUGAAACAUAAUUAAGAUCUAAGUUUCAGCAGGGAUUUUGGAACUGCAGUAGCAGUGGGCAAGAGUUAAGCAGCACAUGGACAAGAAAAAAAUAUAUAAUCCAAACAUCAAGAAAAGGAAUUAAUGUAAGUCAUAUAACCAAUAUGUGUGUGUACAUAUAUAGUUUGUGUAUGUGUAUUCAGGUUAUAGGGUUUCCAGAUUUGAAGAUAGUCACAUCCAAGUUCAGUCCCAUAAGAAAUUAGAUCCUGUGUAUAGAAUGCAAGCUUAAACCAACAAGGUUAUCAAAUAUUUAAUUUGAAACCUUACCUGAUUAUUGUAAAGUAAUCAGGUUGGUUGUCCAGUUUUCAGGUAUCAUUUAACCCCUUGUGCACAGCUAUGGAAGCAAUAAGCUUGAAAAAUGAAAUAUUUAUGCAAACAAUAAGAAACAUUAGCAUAAAAGGUAUAAUUGAGGAUAUUUAUGUAUAUGCAUUGUAGAACAUCAUUUUGCAGUUUUUGUUGCUAACAGUCGUUCAAUUUUUGUAUGAGUUCAUCUUGAUUAUUACUUAGUCAUUUGUAAAUAUGUGCGAUCAUUGUUUUUAACCGAUACAGGGCCUGGUACUGGUUUCUAGCCGGACCAAUAUGGUAUCGGGCCAUUCAUACUAAUCCCAUAUCGUGAUGACCAAAAAUCAAUUUUUCUUUUUUUUUCUUUUCAUUACUUUUUUGCAAUUUUAUGCAUGAUGAAGAUAUUUAGGUUAACUUGUUUUGUAUUUUUUUAGUAUUUAAAGAACUUUUCUAAAGGAUAUGUGAUAAUGAGUGUCAUUAUUGAUACAGACAGUCUAUUAUCAAUUAAAUAACAACAUCUAUGAGUGAAGAAUGAAAAAUACAAUAUAUUAUUGAAAAAAGGAAAAUCAUAAUAAUUCACUUUAAUAGUCCAAUCCCAUGUAGAAUGUUAAUGGAUCUCAUUUACAUCCACGUGUUGCUGGUAGUCUGGACCUGGAAUAUUACACCAGCUUGGAUACUCGUCCCCAUCCCUGCUGGUCAUAAGAUGUCAGAUAAUGACUAGCCUGUGGCUCUUGAUGCUACAGAUAUAUGUACAUCUGGUACUCAUCGAAGCCUGGUCAUCCUGCUCAAGGUACAAUAAAGUAACAAUGUACUUUGAUCCCUAGUUAUUAUCUUAUCCAGAGGACAGAUAAUGUGCAGAGCUGGAUCUUAUAGGAUAUGAUGAGUGGUGGAAACCAAAUGGAUCAUGCUUGGAUGGAGUGUAAUGUCCACUCUAACUAUUUGAUGCAUUAGGAGAUCCACCUCUAACAUAUGGGGAGAUCUUUUGAACAUUUAGCUGUCCAAUGCACUAGAAGAUGUGCCACUAAAAUUGACUCCCUCCACACCCUGUGAUAGCUUGAUAGCUUCCAAGUCUCCUGGUACUGCUCCUCAUCUCCUUUUGUUUCUUGUCUAAUCUUUUCCAUCAUCUCAGUUUCUAAUGUGCAGGGUGUGUGCAUAAACCUCCCACUCCCCAAGACAGCUUUUUGUAACUAUCACCAACCUCUAUACAUACCUAUACUGUAGCCCUGAUCCUAUGUAUCCUCAGCUACAGCACUCCUUGAUCCUCUUCUCUUGUAGGACAAUGUCUCCCUUCCAGAUCUAGUUUGAGUCUUAGCCUCAUGAUUUGUAUGCCACGUGGUGUGCAUAAACUUUCACCAAUGAAUAAAAUGAGUCUUUGAGCAUAGUCACCACCACUACCUCUAGACUGCCCACCUUCCCACUCUAGCCUCCAGAACCAUCACUUAAUCUGUAAUUAUCAUCUUCACUAUCAGUGCAAGACGAUCUAGGCAAGGCGAGAUAUUAGUGUCAUCAUCAUCUUUGUUAUCAUGGCUCCACAGUCUCACUAUCAUCUUCCUGCCCUUAUAUGUUGCCGGUUGCCUCAACUGGAUCAGUUACUGCUUUCUCCUUGGACUUGCCCUUCACACCGCAUUGACCAGACUUGAAGGCCGAUGCACCACACCAUGACCCGAACAUCUCAGAAUUGAAUCACUGAUCAAAAUUCUUUGACUCUUGUCGAGUCUCCUGUUAGGUCUCCUGUUGGGUCUCACUCAUAGUGGGUGACAUAUGCUUCUCUGCCAAUCUAUCUACAUUGCACACCCACAAAUCUUUUGUGAUGGUUCUGUCCAAUUAUGGAGGAUCCCCUAGUCCAUUUAGCACCCAUCUAUUGAGGCUGCUGAUCUGCCACCCAUCCAAGCACAGGAUCUUCCUCAUCAUGAAAGUCAUCUGCUCAAUGAGUUUUCCUGUCUCCUUUCCUUUCUCUGAUUCAAGUACUUCUGUCUUCAAACACCAAGUCAUGCAUCUGCUCAAUGAGAUGGGUUGUGAGAGAACUUAGAUGGCAAUCUUCCUCAUAUUAGGUGCAUUGGUGCUCCACUACACCCACCACACUCCUACAACUAAAUAAUUUAAGGUGACAUAAGUCUCAGAAAAUAAAAAAUUAUGAUUUUCUAUUGCAAUAUUUUCCUAUAGUUUAUAUGGAGAAAUCCUGCUUACUGAUUAUUGAGCUCCAUUUUCCUAGAAAUUUCCAUGUUUCUUGCAGAAUAUUUCAUCUGAUCAGAUAAAUAGGACUUGGUGCCAAUCUCAGUUAAAUGUAAAAUGUUAUCUUAGUAGUUGCUGCUGCAGUGUAGAUCAAGGGACAACUGCUACACCACUGCCCUGAACACUCAUAGCAGCUCCUUAUUUAGGCUUAUGUCUUCUUGGAAUUGCUACAUUGAAAUCAAGUAAGAGGACCGUCUAAUAAAGCACAAAGUUUACAAUCAUGAAGACAAAAGAAAUAUUGGUUAAAUACUUCAUAAAAGGAACCACUUGGCUGUUAUACCUGCUAGGUGCAAACCCUUGCCCAUCUUUAUGCCCCAUCUAUCCUCCUUAAUGAUUUAAAGGUAUGGAGAUGCCUUUUCACCCACUGCAUCGGUAAUUUGCUGCUCGGCAUCCCAUAGUUUUGGGUAAAAAGAAACCCAUUGGCGGAACCUUCUCAUGGUAAACCAUUCACAGUGCCACAUUCAAAUGCUCCACUGCAUUUACCAUAUUUGCGCAUUCCUCCCAGAAUGGAUUAUUCAAAACAAUCCCCUUGAUCAUCAUGCCUUCAGUUGACUCACUGUACUUACUCGACAUCUGCUUGUUGCAUGUAAAAAUAGUAUUGAGACUUGCUUUAUUAUCAAGGAGGUUCCUUGAAGCUAUUAAAUGCGAGGCAAAUUGAGUCACACUUGACUUCAAUUUGCACGCUACCUGAAAUGCUGCCCCAUCAGCGCAAAGACCCAUGCGCGAUUGUAUAUAUACUUUGGCCUGCCCCCGCUCAACAGCUAUCUUCACUUGUUAUAGGUCCACAAUAUCUUUCAUCAUCAAAUCAAUCCAAUGAAUAGCACAUGGCAUCCAGUAAAUUAAAUAUAUCACAUGACCUCCAUCAGAUUCUCACUUGCUCACUUGUGCUGGGGAGCAUUAUUUGUGACCACUUGGAACAACCUCAACUACCAUCUUCAUCAGACUCAGGAUGUAGUUGAAAACAUGGAUCCCCUUUUUGAUCCAUCAAAUCAAGGUCAAAGAAAGUCAUCUUGUCAUAACACAGUAGCAAGUUGAUGAUGCUCCCAGUUGGCUCGAACCAUCCAUCACACAUCAAUGUCAUGCCAUAUAACUAAUACUAGUGCCUAUAUCUGUCUAUCUACUUCUUCAGGCAUUCAACCUCCGCCUUUUGAAUAUGGCUUGUGAGUCUCAAGAGGCCUAGUACUAGGACCCUGCUUCUGCAUUUUGGUAAUCAUGUUUCGAAAGAAAAUGUUUGAUGCAGCAUAAGUCAGUAUUUGAUUGUAAUGGAACCACUUGUCUAUGGCAGCCCCAUCUACAUGCUUCUUAUCCCUUGAUGUGGGUAUCUAUCUAGGGUUGCUUAGUUGAUGGAUAUGGGUAGGCUGCCAGAUCAUUGUCAUAAAUAAUGGGACAUAACCUGAUGUCCUUUUCCUCCCUUUUAUGAAAUGUAUCAAAUAGGGAUUUGAUCCCUCUGCCACCACAUUUGAUCAACUAGGUCCUGCAUAGCUUAGGUCCUUCCCUAGCUAUGUGCCCUCCCUUGGAUGCACUGGACCCAUCAUUCCCCUUGCAAUGUGAAGACCAAAACUGUCUAUGAUGUCUUAUAGCUUCCUCACACUCCUAUAAUCCAUUGCAUCUGUUUAGAGACCUGGAUAGCCUCCCAUCUCAGCAGCCUCCAUUACAUUUGGAUCAGGAGCUCACUACCAUUGCCUUCAUCACUCUGCCAUGCUGAUCAUUGAUCUCAGCUGCCCUAUGGUCCUAAGCCACUAAGCCAGCUCAUAUUUGGCCACAUGCUUCACUUCCUUUAGACUCCACAUGUGAUUCCUUAUUGUCCUUGCCUCUCUAGGCACCUUGAUACACUUUUGCACAUCAACAUAGGUACUUGCUAAAUGCUGCUUCAACUUGGUGAACCCAUCUCUUUUAUUGUUCAUGACACCAAUUGCAUACACAGUGUUGUCUCUCUGAGCGCAUCCCUCCAUGGCACUACCCAUUAUUGAGCAUUUUGAUCCUUCUUACUAAAAGUCACCUAUCAGCCUAAAAUCCUAUGCUCCCUGGAUAUUAUCCACUCAAACCAAGAAUCAUUCUUCAUACAUACCUCAAAUUGCUAGAAUUUGUCAUAUUAUUAGAAUUCUCAAUAACUGUCAAAUACAUGUUCCGUAUUGUUAAUAAUUAAAUCAUAUUUUAUUUUUCUUAAUUUUUCUUCAAAAAUAGCUUGAAAGAUUGAACUUACAUGCUAAUUAAUAAAUUACAAGAUGGCAAUUUUAUAAUUCAUCUUGUUAAAAUCAAUACAUGUUCCAUGUUUAUUACAUUUAAUGACCAUUUUUCAAAUUUUUAUUUAUUUUUCCAUUGAAAGUAAUCUAAAACAAGAAAACUCCAUUAAUCACUGAAUUGCAUGAUAGCAAAAUUCAAGAUAUUUAUAUUUUAUGACAUCUACUGGUAUUUUUUUAUAUUAUUAAGGAAAUUGAGAAUUUCUUUAAUCACUUUCUUGAUUGAAAAAUUAGUUAAAUGACUAAAGACACUCUAGCCACAGAAAUUGCAGCACGUGCAUAUUGUAAAUCCAAGCAAACCUACAAUUUUUCAGCCCAAAUUUCCAUACAUUUAUUCAUUAUUAAUGUUUUAGUACAGAAACAUAUAUACUUAGUAAAAUAAAAUAUUGGUUGAAAAACAAAAAUCACCAUGUUGUGGGCUGCUAUCAAUCCUACAACAUAUCCAUAAUUCAAAGAAAACAAAAAAAAUUGACAUGAGUUCCCCCUUUUCUGAUUUUUGCCAACUUUGAGACAAAAAAUGGAGACAGGAAUGCCUCAGUCGAAUGGAGUGUCCUCUCCCACAGAUUCGUUGGCGACCCCUCCUAGGCGAGAGGAAAAAAGCCUUUUCCUUCUCCCAAUUUUCCCUCUCUCUCUCUCUCUCUGACAUUUUAGGAUCAAACGGACCUCACUAGAUGCCUAAAGGCAUCUUGAACCCCCCUAGCGCCCCCUUUUGAAAAAUGUGUCCUAGUCAGAAUGCCUUCAUACAACAAUAUCAAGCUUUGGUACAGAUCAAUAUAAUCCGGUACUGCCGGCAUGAUUGAUAUAGGUGCCAUGCUGGUCGAGCUGAGGUAUGUACCAACUCGUGUCAAUCCAUCUUGUCUGGAGCAGGUUACGGCGGCCUGUGUCUCAUCCUGAUGUCGGAACCCUAGUAGACAAUAUGGCACUAGUGGUACCAUCUUGUUCCACUGGUAUUUCAAACCAUGUGUAAAUUCCUAUGAAUUAAGUAGAAAUGCAUUUGCUACUUUAGUGGUGUGAUAUAGUAAGCCUGAUACAGUGUGAUACAACCACCAUACUAACACAAGAUUGGGAGACUCUUGCUCAUGCCUAGCCAUGGUACCUCCAAAAUCGUGUGGGUAUAUGGGUUAGUAGUUAGUACAAUAUGAAAAUGGGUGGUUUCAAUCAUUUGAGUAUCAUUGAAGCAGUAAUCUCCUUGAAAGUUCAAUGACCUACUGUGUGAGAGUUGAUCACCUAUAGCUAGUCCUUAUCAAGGUUCACUGUACCAGCAGCGAGUACUAUACCACUACUUUAUUGGUACAAUACAAUAAGCUUGAUACAGCAUGGUACAAGUGCCAUACUGACACAAGGUUGGGAGGUUCUUUGCUCAUGCCUUGCAAUGACAUGGAACUUACCUAAACUUACAAUUUACAUAACACCUGAUAAAUAAUGAACCUUAUCUGCACUCUGCAGCAUUUUAAUUCAAAAUUUCAAAUGCACAAAUGCUUACCCUUGUGUCAGCACCCGCCUCUUGCAAUUUGAAUGAACAGGAAAAGUUAUCGCCCUUUACUUCUAUUCUGUAGGAUUUAAGUUGUUCACCAGUGUAGAUCCUCUGAACUGUCUUAUCUUUGAUCUGAAAAUAACGAAGGAAAGUAUCUGCAUCUUUCACAGAGGCUUCAAUUUUGUCACCAUUUGGAGCUACAUGAAACUCUAGAUGGUUAGUGGAUACAUCUUCCUGAAGCCAUUGAUAUGUUCCUAGGCCAUGAGCUAUGGCUGCACUCAACUUUCUCUUUCUCAAUCUGGAUAUUGUUACAUUCUGCUGCUCAAGGUAGCAUGCAAAUUGCACGUAUGCUGACAAACUAAGACUACUCUCAAAGGAAGCACUGACAACAGCCAUCUUGUCAUGAAGCUGAGCCCAUUUUGCAAUAAGCGCCGCAUUUUCAAAUCCACCAACUACACUUGGUUUAAUUACCUGAUAGAUCAACCAAAAGACAAGGUCAUGUGCCUAAAAACAAUAUGAUGAAUACUCCGUCAGAUGAUACUUCAGACUUUACUUACAAUAGCUACUAUUCCAGGAUGUACAAAGUUUUGGAGUUUGUUGAGGAAAUCUCCUUUAAGAUCGUCAAUAGUCUCAUCUAAAGCUACAGGUAAACAACUUUCUUCACAAAACUUUAUAAUAUCAUCCUCAAGACAUACAGGUUCCUGAAACAUUUGAAACAAAUAGCCAUUAAAAAAGCAGAAAAGAAAUAGAGUAAGAGGGAGAGAGAUCAAUGUGCCAAAGAAUUACAAAGAAAUUUAGUUAAGCAAGAGUUGCAAAACUUCCCAAUUUAAAUGGGUAGUUUCAUCAGAAAUAGAUAUUUCUGCAUAAUAAAGAUGGGACGGGUUAAGUCAUGACAAGAGGCAGUGCAUAAAUGUUGCUACAUCUAUAUGGCUAAAGAUCAACUGCCCUAGCACCACAAUGCAUUAGUAUUAUAUAUAAUUUACACAAAUUGCAGGGGUUUUUCUUGUUUGCUAUGGAUCAACAUAUGCCUUUUGAAUCUUCUGAGGACAUAAUAAAUGUGGGUAACUCUCUCAGCAGCAGUUACCUGUUAGAUGUAUUUCUCCCAGAGUAUGCGAUGGCAUUUACGAGAAAUACAUGGGCAUGUUCAUGUCAUGACUAAAGAGAGAAUUCAAGAGUGGCACAAUCAUACUCCCUAGUCAUGCACUGAUAUGGAGUUAGCAGGAGGUUUAGUUAGCAGCCAAUGGGAGGACGAAAUCUUCAAAAUUAUAGAAGCAAUAUACCUCAUGGUCAAAUGUCAGAUACAUUAAACUCUCUACACUUACUUGAUCUUCACUCCCUUUCCCAUUGAGAGACAGGCAUGCCAGGAAAAACUUGUUUGGUAAAAGACAAGUUCUCGGGGCUGGGUCCAGUGAUCGUGUGGGUGUGCCAUCAGUCUCGAAUAGCUAGAAAGGACAUAAAGGAAAGGAGCUAGUGAAAGUAGAAUGGGUUCAGGUGCCUUGAACUUGAAGAACUUCCUCUACCAUUAGACGACCCAAUAAAAAGAUGAGAAAGUGGGGUGUAGCUAGUGCUACAAGUUACUCUGCUGCUAUUGGUAAACUAGAAUUCUACUUGUAAAUUAAAAACAAGGAAAUCGAAAGGAAUUUAAAAGGAUUUUAUAGGAUAAAAGCAACAAUAAAUUAAGGAUGAAGAUAAAGUUUGAUUGAGUGGCAAAAGAUACCAUGCUCGUGUAACAUUCUAUUAUUUAUACAAGAAGACAAAUGACAACUGCCCACUUUCAGCAAUAGUAGUCGACAUUUGGACUCCACUUCUCUUGAUAGUUUUAGCCAUCAGGAUUACCAUUCUCCAGUCGUCAUGCUCCUUGUUAACCACCAAGUCUGAUAACUAUUUGCUCGAUCUUGUACUUGUUAUAAUCCUUCUGUUCAAGUAAUGACCUCAUAUUUAGGAUGGGUGGUCGGGCCAGUUCGACUUCACUCUGGCCUUCCUAAUAGCCGCUUAGUCUAAUGGCUGCCUCACUUAGCCUAUUAGGUGCUAUGUCUUUCUUUCUGUUGAGACCAAAUGAUAUCAAAGUUAGUCUUGGCCUAAGAUUGACCUAUUGACCCUGAGGUGCCCCUUUGAAUCCUAACCCAUAGCUGCCAUAUGUAUAGUGACUCCUUGAUGCUAGGAUGUGGUGUAAACAAUGCCCCCCAUAUCCUAUUGACCGUUGAUUAGAAGUUUCCAAGGAACCGGUACCAGCAUUUAGGAAUUUGAAAGACGUACGCAUUUCGGAAUUGUCAUACUUUUGGAUGUUCUUCAACCAUAACUCCUAUCAAUGCACCUUUUCUUCCAUCAAGGAUUGUCCACAUGUUAUAAUGAGAUAGUUCACCCUUCUGACUAAGUCACUUCCCGAGCUACUAUGAUUGAUUAGAAUCCUUUUAGGGCACAAAUUUGUAGGGCACAAAAGUUUUUUCAAAAACCUAGAAGGGUCACCUUCUUCUAUCACCCCAAGCAACUCCUCUUCUAAGCCUCCUUAUCUUCUAAGGUUGCAAAUGGAUCGGGUCGACCCGUGACCCGACCCAACCCGACCUGCUUAAACCCAAUCCAACCCAUUUUAAAAGACCCGUGGGGUCGGAUCAAGUUCUAAAAUUGGAUCCGUUCAAUAUUUCUGAUCGGGUUUGGAUUUACUGAAUUCGGAUCCGACCCGAUCCGACCUGAAUUUAGUAUUGAAUCAACAUGUAAAUUAUAGAACAAAUAAAAUGGAUUAGAAUUCCAAAUGUUCUUGUAGUAUUGUUAUGUUUCAUACAGUUUUACUAAAUUUGACUGUGAGAUUUUGAGAAUUACUCAUAAAUUAAUAGUCAAGAUAAAGUAAUAUUUAUUUUCUUUUGUCAUAAACUUUGCAUAUGUUGAUUUAUCAUAUGAACAAGGUCCGAUCAGAAUUUGGGCUCGAGCCGGAUCCAAAAUUUUUAGAUUGGGACCGGAUUAUACAUGGACCCAAUCCGAUCCAAAUGAUCCAAUAGGGUAGACUUUUUGAUUAUAGACCCGAUCCGAUCCGACCUAAUUUUCAAUUGGGUUGGUUUGGGUCCAACAUUAGGAUCCGAUCAAGGGACUGGGCCAGAUCGGGAUCACUCAUGACCUGGUCCGACCUGAUCCAUUUGCACCCAUAUUAUCUCUUUUGACCUUUAAGUCUAACACACCUGCUCUUGCUCUGCAACAAAAUAAGCCAGUAUCCCACUUCCCUUCAUGCUCUUGCUCAUGAGAGGUAGGAAUAACUUGAGCAUUUCGAGUUCUGUGAUUUAUGGAUCCUCAAGUACUGAUCCAAGAGCUCUCUUGUCUUUACAUAUUAGAUCUUAUUUUCAAAUCCAGAGUGCACGAGCCAUUUUCUUCUAUCUUUCCUCAUCACACCAAAAAAAAACUUUUUUGUGAGGGACUACAUUAUAAACCUUGAUCUGGAAAAACCUAUCACUGACCAUUUCCCACCUGAUGUGACCUCUAGAACCAAUGGUUCAACCAUGUUUCCUAACAGAAGUCAUCCACAUAGGACAAGAAUGGACUCUCAGAUAUCUUGGCCUUUUCUAAUUCCUUCCUAAGGCCAACCGGCCUUUAAUUCUUGCCAUCUUGUGCAUUUGGUCUAACCAACACUUUUCACCUGAAUAAUAGGAUGACCGGCCCAAGCCUGCUAGACUUGAGUAUUCUCUUCAACCUCAGGCCAAACAUCCUCGCAAAUGAUUUCAGCCCGAAACUGAAUAAAUCAACCAACUACAACGCUAAUGUGCAAACCUUUUACCACCAUAUGGGGUUGAUCAUGCACUAAAAAUAUAUUGCCUUUUUCCUAGUUUGGGUCUAUAAAUACCUGUUAGGCUCCCAAACGAUCAAAGUGGUCAAAUACAUCUCAAUUUGGUUGUGGCCCAACCCGAAGACCUACUGACAGCACUGGCUCCUCUUAUACUAGCUUAUUUUUCCCAAGGCCUUAGGGAGAUAACUUCUGGAAGUUGGGGAUGUGGAGGUCCUCUCUGGAUGCUCCAAAUUUAGCUAUACACAUACAUUUCAAGGAUUCAUCCGCUAGUAAUUGAUAUGUCUCAAACCAUUCCCAUAGGUCAUUAGUAUGCCCACUUGGAGGGCCCAUUCUUUCUUUGAUGCAGUAUUUCAAGAGGUUCUAUGAAGGCCCCUCUCGUACAAAUAUAAGCCUUCAAUUCCUUAUCCUGCACUCUCCAAAGCCUGCCUGGGUAGUAUUCCUAUGGGCUGACAUGUCCGUAGAAGAGGCCAAAGAUAUGGGACUUCUCUGGAAGGAUUUCCUGGUUCCUAGAGAUCUUCUCAUCAUAUCGAUAAUAAAAAGAUUGAUCAACAAUAAAUGCUCAGUUGAGCAUUAUUCUCCCAAUUUCUUCAUCAGCCAAUUCAGUCUAGUCUAGGGCAUUCCUUGUCCGCCUCUCUAUUCUUUGAAUAUUUCAUUCUUUGAUCAACUACCUAUUUUUUAGCGUAUCUAAUUGCAUUGACCAUCUUCUUUUAUGACCAAUUAUUCCUGGACUAUCAUUUUAUCCCUCUUAACCUUAGGUCUACCAUGAUCAGAGAGUUAUGGAUUGGUGAGAUGCUUAUGUUAUCAGACUUCUUUCUAUGAGUGCUACCACUAUUUUGGAUCGUAUCAACAGCGGCUCACCUCUUGACUCCAUGAUUGAUGUUCAUUUUGGUUCAUGCCAACCAACGAUAAAUCCCCUUCACCAUCCAUAGGCAAGAUUCCAGUUGCAACCAAAAACAAAGGUAAAUGUAUAUUUUUGAUUGAACUGAACUGAUUUGCUUAGAUGGAAAAUCCAUAUAGGACUGAUCCUUAAUUUUGCAGCUCCAUUGAAGGCUCCCUCGGUUCGGCCCAUAUCAAUAAAGGUUGAAUUUGCUGCCCCGAAAAAGAUGAAGGCACUCAUUCACAAACAGAAGCCUCCUCCUUUUCCUUCACCAUGACAAAGUGGUAAAGGGAGGCAUUUAGCAUCUAGGAAAGGUCAUAUCUUUCAAGUCCACCAUAAUAUUUGACAUUAGCAACUAGGAAAGGUCAUACCUUACAAACUCGACACAGGCUGAGUUUUCAGAAGAUCAAACUCACCCAAGGAGUUAACUCACCCUUAUCAGUCAUUUCCUUAGUCUCCCUACCUUGAACAUCCUCAAGAGCCUCAAACAUCGGAACAUCCUUCAGUCCCUAUUGCUGAUACAAUGGUUGAGAUGCUUCAUUCUCCCUAGGAACCUCUAGUCCAUCCAACCCCGAUGCCUUCUCCAAGAGCAUCCCUCACCAGUUCUUCGGCCUCCAAUCAUGAAGUAUUGACCAUUGUUUUUGAAACAAGCACACUUUGUCUCCUAACUUCACCUAUUUUUGUAGGCCAUUGACAAUCGGUCAAUAUUCCAAUCCUCGUUGAGCGCCAAAUCUUGGUUAUUGGCUCACUUGGCCAAAACCCAUUUUGAUCCAUCUCUCCAAGUUUCGGCCAAAGUGUACAAGACUAAGAGAUUGUUCCAAGAUAUCACCGACAUUUUGAUUUAUGAACUUGUCUCUCCUAGCAGGUUGACCGAAUUCUUGGAUGCAGUUGCAGCACUACGGCAUUCAGCCUAUUCCUUCGCAAACCAAGUUUCUGACAUCCAUGGAAGACUAACAAAUAUCUCAUCUAUCCACCAUCCAUUGGUGACCUUCGCUGAGGAAGUCGAUACUCCACAUCCUAGACAAAUAGCUUAGAGACUGAAGUUGUCUCCAAGGAGGAAGAAAGCAAACCAGCUUCGAAUGCCUAUCAAAUGAUCCAAAACAAAAUCCGCGCUCAACUAGGUUUGGUUGCAUCCAUGGUAUUCUGUACCGGCUCAAAUCGAUCGGUACACCUGUACCAAAUCGUACUGAUGGAGAGCUGGUCCGGUUCAGACCGGAUUUUUGAAAAAUGAGCUGAACCAGACCGAACUGAUUGGUUCGGUAUGGUAUCAGCCCAAACCGUCCGAUAUCUGAUGGUUUGGUCUAGUUUGGUAUGAUUCGGGGCUUGUUUGGUCCGAUUUCUCCUUUUUUUUUUAGUACUGGUGGGUGAGAUUUUUUUUUUGAUUUUUUUAUUAUCGAUACGGUAUAGUAUAGUCCUAUACGGUAUGGUAUGUUACCGUACCAAUUGUCAUGUUACCAUCCCAGCCGACAAUCGGCAUGGAUUCCGAUACUGAGUCCGCAAACCUUGGUUACAUCCUUCGAAGUAUGGUUAGGCCAAGCCCGCCAACAACUGCAACCUUUGGAGGAUGAGUGGGUUGCACCGAAGAUUAACUACUAGGAGCAAUUCCAAGCUUUGGAUGAAGCUCGUCAUCAGCUAGAGGAACGCAAAUCCAGACUUCCAAAUCUUUUUGCCAGAGUGGAUUAGUCCGAGCAACUUUAUGAUCAACUCCAAGGCAAAGGGAGAAAAUAGAGAACAUCAUCACAAAUCUCUAAAGUGGAACCUAUACCUAUGCAAUGUAGGGAAUUCGUACCUAGGUAAAGUGGUGGGCAUUAGAUAUUUGUCACUUGUAUCUGCCUCUUGGCCAAAACCAGCCACAGAAAAUCUUGUUGGCAAUCAAUUUAAUAUUAUUCUGUACUUUAUUCUCACUUUUAAACUUAGCACUUUCCUUAAUCUUUUAGCGAAUAUUUACAAAGUACUAAGAUCCACAUUAUGUAAUCAGCAUGAGGAUCCCCGACAAUCUGAAUGAUCCAACUCCAAACUGUAUCAAAUUUUUUCCCAAAAAGCUAACAUACUAUCUCCUCCCAGCAUAAGGCCUCAGUGCACAUCAUCCAAGCAGAGGACAUAGAGGCUUCCAUUAAUGUGGUUGCCCCCUAGCUCUCCUAAAGGAGAUUGUUGCUACCAUAGGAUAAUAGGAUUGCCCCACAUCUGCUACUGCCACGGGAUGACCGACUUUAAUAAUAUAGACUUGUAUCAGUGUGAAUCGUGUGAUUCUACUGAUCUUUCUUCUAGCAACCAUCUCUAAAUCAAGAUGGACAAUGCAUCCCUUGAAUUCGAUUGUCAGCCUAGGAUCAAUCGAGCCAUUGAUGACUACUUGUUCAAUUUGACUUGAUCCUACAUUCACUUGUAGGAUCCCUUCCUUAUGUCAGUCUAUAAAUCCCAAGGACUCCAUAAUAUAUUCUGCGGCCUGGUCCUUCUCGUAGGUUGAAAUGCCAAAGUCAGGCUUCCUGAGGAUCCUGACAUUUCUGUUCAAAGAUUGAUAGGCUGAUUUACCUUCUCUAGGGGCAGGUUGAGCAUGCAUGAAAACAUGCUGCUGCUAAUAAUUCUGACCCUCCAUAAUAGGAAAAAGCCUUUCACCUUGAUCUUUCACCAUCUCUAAAGUUGUCAAAUUUCGCUCUGCAAGUUUCCUUAGCAUGAUAGUUGCCUUAGCAUGACAGCUACUUGGCAUAAGAAUGCCUCCAAUAGGCCAUGCCGACUCUCUUCCAAAGAGGACUAGAGCCACAUGGCCACUUCCUGCAGAAGAUCAGUUGGCGAACAGGUCACCAUCAUUUAGAGAUUAUCCAUCUUCUUUCUUGGUGAGAUGAUGAUAGUUACACAAUAGAGUCCCACCGAGCAUGCCAAAAAAAUUUGAUUGAUGUCUUUCCCAUCGAGAGAUGGGCAUGCCAGAAAAUAUUUUUUGGUAGAAGACGAGUUCUCAUGGCUGGGUUUGGUCAUCAUGCAGGUGUGCCACCAACAUCAGAUAGCUGAAAAGGAUAUAAAGGAAUUGAAAAAGUAAGAGUGGCAUGAGUCCAGGUGCCUUGAACUUCAAGAACUCUCUCUACCAUCACACCACUAGAACACCACUAGAUUGGCAGAUGAGAAAGUAGGGUGUAGCCAGGCUAUGAGUUACUUUAUUGCUACUGGUAAACUAGAAUUCUACCAGAAAAUUGAAAGCAAGGAAAUCAAAAAGAAUUUAAAAGGAUAAAAGCAACAAUAAAUUAAGGAUAAAGAUAAAGUCUGAGUGGCGAAAGGCCCCUGUUUGGAUUACAUUCUAUUAUUUAUACAAGAAGACACAACAUGGCAACCACCUGCUCCCAGCAGUAGCUGCCCACAUUUGGACUCCACUUGUCCUGAUAGUUUCAACCACCAGGAUUACCAAUCCACGCUCAUCAUUCCCCUUGUUAACCGCCAACUCAAUAAUUAUUCGCUCGGUCUUGCACUUAUUAUCAUUGUUCUAAUUAGGUAAUGAUCUUGAUUCUUAUAUUUAGGAUGGCAGUAGGAUUUAUUUGACUUGGCCUGUUAGGUGUCAUGUCUUCCUUUUUGGUGAGUCGAAAUAAUAACAAAGUUAGUCUUGGCCGAGCACUGACCUUGGGUUCCCCUUUGGAUCCUAUCCUACGGCCACCAUUUGUACAGUGGUCCCCAGGUGCCAGGAUAAAAAAAUUUGUAAUAACAUUUGUUAUGCAUAAAAAAAUUUGCUUCCAUUGGACAAGCAUAAAAUUCCAAUCUUCUAAUAUUAAGGAGACUAGAGAGAAAUUCAAACAAGGGAAAACAUCUAUUUCUGUAUGCUUAUAAUCACCAUUCAGCAUGUGUAACUUUGUUCUAUGAAAAAAAAGCCUUUCUACCAGAUAUACCUCAAUGUAUUGUAGGUCAAAAUAUUUCACACCAAAUCCAAAUUCGAUUGCCUCUUCAUAUGUCCACUUCCGAUUUGCAUCAACACGGAUGUUGAUCUUAUAUCCAACCAUUUCUCUAAUUUCUUGGAUGACUGCCACAUCUUCAAUAAGAUUUUCUCGACGUGCAACCUGCAGGAGGAGGGGAUAUACAAGAAACUUUGCUUUUAAAUUUUCAAAUAUCUACAUUUACCGAGUUUUUAAACAAGGGAAACAAGUCUAAAAAUUUGCUUUUCAUUAAAAAUAAAUUAUUGACAACAGAAGAACUCAAAAGAGAAGGAUUUGCUCAAGGUGCAUUCUGUUUAAAUUUCAAACCAUAAGAACAAGCUGAUAAGAUAUACUAAAGCAACCAGCAAACAUUUUGUAGCCAUAUUGAUGAAAGCUAAAAGUUGCAAAUUGGGCAGGUUAAAUCAUCAGUAACAACCAAUUCACAGCAUCCAACUGUAGUAGGAGCUAUUAUCAGAUAACCCUAUUUACCUUUGAUACACAAUCUAAGUAAUGAUUAUUACCUUCAGUUUGAUUGUAGUGAAACCUUCAUCAACUAGCCGAGACACUACAUGAGCUACCUGCAUAGGAGUGCCAUUACAAUCUACAAGGGCACUAAUCUGUAUCCUUGCUGAACCCUUCAUAAUUUCUGUCAAUGACUGAGAAUCUUGUGUGGAACUUCUACAUCCAGUAACUAAUUCCAAUAAACUAGAUCCUGCUCUAGCUGCUAGUGCAUUUAGUAUAGCCAUCUCCAUGCCAUUCCUAACACUUGGAAAUAUAGAAGAUGGCUGAAAACAAGAGAUAACUUCUGUUACAAACUUCAUUAGAUUUAGCAAUGAAAAGAAUCAUUUGAAUAUGUAUUGUUUUUCAGGUGUACCCACUGGAACUCCUAAGCUUCUCCAUAUCCAAUGAGAGAAGGAGCCCCUGAGCAAUGGAAGAAAAUAACUUAUCUCAGAACCUUCUAUUCUAUGAACCAGAAAUCUCAGCUGCUCUUCAACAUCUAACAGAUCCUCCUUGUGAAUUUCGAUUGGGGCAACCUGUUUGAAAACUCACAAGGGAAUAAGAUAGUAAAAGAAUAGAACAGCAGCAAGAUAUCAUUAACUGUUACCCACUGAGAAAACUUUUAACAUCAACAUUUUUGACAUUAAUGUCACAUCCAUAAUUUUAGAUAGUUGUAUGUAAUGAUGUUAAAAUCUAUAAUGUUUUUUUUAAAAAAAAAAACUAAAAAGGGUCCACUGAAACAUCAAGUACUUCAAUUUACAUUACAAUCAUCAUUAACAAGGUUUGUCAUAGUAACCUGUACCACCCUGCACAAAUCGUAUCAUAGCAGCAAGGUACUAGUAUAGUCCCAAGUUUGACAUAUGAGCCAAACUGGUCCAUACCAGUCUGAAAUGAGUGAAACCGUCCCAUAUUUCUUGGUUCCAGCUGCUACCAUAGCUGAGAAGAAGUGUUGGAAGCAUAUCUUGGUACAGGAUGUGUUACCAAUUGUACCAUACCAAACUUGUAAAGUACAAGUAUGGUUCUUGGUACUGGUGUUGAGGACCUUAAUCAUUAGAAUAAUUUAAAAACAAACAUGACCUAUAGAAAGGAAAUAUCAUUGCUUAUCAUCUCAAUACAACUCAAUGAAGACAUUAACAUACAUUUUACAUAUUUCAAAUGUUGUAUUUCAUAGUCAAAGCACCAUUUAAAUUUGUUCAGUACAACAACUCCUAGAUUUUGUUCUAAGCCAUUUGCUGUUACUUUUUUUAACAAAAGGAUAAUUUCAUAAAUCUCAUUUUAGGCACUUGUACCUUAUGAGUGUGUAACACUCGAGUACUUCCUUGAAAUAAAGCUCAACAUACAUGGCCAUUUGUUCAUAUAUUUGGUUAAUGCCUAAGAUGUUUGCUCUAAGUUCAUAUAUUUUUGUUUUCAACAAAUAAUUUACCAGAUGAAUUAGUAAUUAUCUUCGUUAAAAGCAAUAUAUCUCUGUUACAAAAGUAAUGCUUGCAGGCCAGAUAGAGUAUGCUAUUUGUAAAGAUAAUAACUGGAAAGUUGGAACAAAGAAUAGUUCCAAAUCAUUAAAUCUUGGAAUGCAAAUGAUAUUCAAAUCCACUAGCAGGCCAUGAGGCUUCAAAAAUAUCCCUGAUUAAGAAAUGUCUCAGCAUAAGACAUGGCUCUUCUAGGUCUAGGUACAUGUUUUCUGCUAGAAAUUUGAGCUUGAGCUAGCAGCGUCCCUACAGAUAAAUAGAAGAUGACUAAACAGCAAGAAUAGUUAGUACCCUUAAAAUAAAUACUUUUAAUAUGCCAAGCAAUUUUAAGUUUCAAGCAUCUCAGUCAAAUAAGUUACAAUUAGCGAAUAAGAUCAGGGAUUGUCGUAUGGCCCCGAGCUGCCUAGUUCAGGCUGUAUCGUAUGUACCAGGUUGGAACCAGUCAAAACUCAUAUUCAGGUCAGUACAGGUCCCUACCGACCGAUACCGAGGUGUAUUGAGGUGAAUUGGGGCACAUACCAACCCUAUCAAGGCAUACAAACAUAAAAACUGAGAAAAAUGGCUCGAGAGCUGUUUUGGUACGUGGUGCAUACCAUAUAAUACCAACCUGUACCAUACAAAAUCAGCAACG
rnacentral:lncRNA from 1 species